rnacentral:lncRNA from 1 species
UAAUUAGAUUAUAAUAAUGGUAAACAAACGUAAUCAAUUUCAAAUCAACUCAAAGAAAUUUCAAACAAACAAUAAAAUUCUUAAAGAAAUAUUAGAUUGAUCAAAAAUUUUACUCAAAUAUAUGUCAAUUCAAUCUUAAUUUAAUUCUAGUUAAAAUCCUAUUGAAUUUCACUCAACUUUAGACCAAACCUAAUUAAAUCUUAAAUCCUAAUAAUUCCUAAAUCCUAAGUCAAAUCCUAAACAAAUCUUAAAUUAAACCCUAUUCCAAAUCCUAAACCCUAAACCAAAUCCUAAACCCUAAUCCAACCCUAAACUCUAAUCCAAAUCCUAAACCCUAAAUCAAACCUUAAAUCAAACUCUAACCAAAUCCUAGUCCAAAUUCUAAUCCAAACCCUAAAUCAAACCCUAAUCCAAAUCCUAAACCCUAAUCCAAACCCUAAUCCAAACCAUAAAUCCUAAUCCAAACCCUAAUCCAAAUCCUAAUCCAAACCCUAAACCGAACCCUAGCCAAACCCUAAUCCAAAUCCUAGUAAUUCUUAUGACAGAUUUAAACCUCAAUAUCUAAUGAAUAAACCAUUGAUCUCAAUUCAAAAUUUUCACACUUCUUAAAAAUCAAGUUCAAAACAAGCAAAAAACUUUUGAAAAGGAUCGGAGUUACCAAUUGACGAAAACCUCAAAAAUGUGUUCAGGUGUUAGCUAGCUGCCUUCUCCAAUCUUGUUGCUAACUUCCCAGAGCCAAUUUCUCUUCUUUUCGCCGUUCGAUUGGUUUCAAAUUUCUCAUGGACAUAGAAAAACAAGUCUAAUAUCCUUUCAUAUAAGUUUUACUCCAAUCCAACUAGUAGAUUGCAUGAAAUCUUAAAAAACCCUCACUGGACCUAAAAUUCUACUUUUUGAGACCUUGAUUCACUUAAACCUCAAUAUCUCUCAGUUCAAGUGUUAGAUCAAGCUCAAAUUCACAAAAUGUGUUCAAAACAAUUAUAACCAUGAACCCAAAAAAAUUCAUUUGUAGAUCUGUAACAAAACUCUCGAAAUCACUCAAAACAUAAACCCUAUUUUAUUUCAUAAAACCCAAGUCAUCCAAAAAAAAACUCAACUUUGCAAAGCUCUUACAAAUUCAUAUCAACUCCAAAUCAUCCAAAAUCAAUGCCCAUAGAAACCUUAUCCAAUCUUCUCUCAAAUCCUAUUCUUCGAUCUGCCAAAGAGUUCUGGAGUCGUCGUCGAGACUCAGUUUUGUGCCUCAGGAUCUGAUUUCGACCCUGGUUCAUAACCGGCCCUCUCCGGGUAUCAAUAUCUAGUUUUUCUAAGUAACUUUUUUCUAGAAUUUACUCUUAACUUUCUUCUAAAGAUUCCUAUAUCAUUUAUUUUCCCAAUCUACUUUGAUUUGCCUUACUUAUGGUACUACAAAAUAAGUAGAAGUCACCUUUCUAAAAGGCAACAUUGGUACUUUUUAAUUUUUCUACCCCUUUGGCUAUUAAGUAUAUUUCUAAGAUAAUUUGUUCUAAUACUUUGAACUAAGAUCUCUUAAAUUAUAAUAAUCUCCAUACUCUUUCACCUAUUAAUUGUAUUACAUCACGACAACGUAUUUCUCGUUUGAACUUGAUUGACUUCCCAUUGAGUCGGUGGAAUCAUGGUCUGAUUACUGAAUUAUUUUUGCCUUUGCCAAUUCCAACAAUUAGCUGUUAAGUACUUUCCUCCGCAAAAUGUACAUUGAUCCAUCAUUUGUGAGGGUGAAGGGCAUUCUGUUACCAAAUGACUAUGGCCCUUACAAUUACUUUACCAUACAUUGGUCCUAGUAUUAGUAGGCUUGCACCACUUCUCCUUAUCUUUGGCCAUAUUAACGGCCAUUUCUUCCAUUUUCUUCGUCAAGUCAAUAAUAAGGUUUCAUUAGAAUCUUUUGGGAUUAGUAUUAAUAGUAACUCUGCCGUACUUAAGGCUUGUUGUUGAUACAGAAAAUAUGGAACAUACGUUGUUGUAUUACAUGCUAUCUAGCUUAAGAAUGCACUAGGCAUCUCGUUGUGGAAGAUAAAACAAUGUUUUACAAGUAUCCAGGUAGGCUAGUGGGUUUCAACCAUCUAAUUACGAAGUAUUUCGUAUUUCAAUAUAAAAGUUCAAUCCUAAUACAAAGUGCUUAGAAGCACUAUUUUAAAUAACUUUAAGAUAUUAUAAGCACAAAGUCUUUUGUUAUUUGUUAGUUUUUUAUUUUAUUUUAUUUUAUUUUAUUUUUAAUUUUUAAUUUUUAAUUUUUUAAUUUUUAUUUUAUUAUAUUUUAUUUUAUUUUUUCAACCUUAACCCUAAACAACGAGCUUUGACAAGUUGUAAUUCUCAAUCUGACCAUCUGAUUGUUGUAAACUUCUACCACUAGUGUCUUUGCAAGUCUUCUAAAUGCUCAAGAAAUUUCAAUCCAAUCUAACUUACACAUUGCAAGAAAAUGCCAUAAAUCCACACUGAUGUAUCUUGAUCGCCGCCUAGAAGUCCUCAACUUAUCAUGCCAAAAGUCACCUUAUUCCAGCUAGUAGAUCUCUAGAUGUUAUAGAAACCCUAGACAACCUCAAUUUGCUAACUUUUGAUACCUCUUUAUACUAAUGGUCAAAUAUCCUCUAUCUGUUUGUUAGAUUAACACAAACUUUUGCAUGCACUCGGUAUACUCAACCCUUUAGACACCUCUAAAUUUCAACUGCAAAAGUUUCUCCAAUUUCACAAAACAGUCAAGAAUACUAGCCUUAAUUUUAUUACAAAAAAAAAUCCAAAUCACCAAUACAAACAUUGACUUUCAACAACGAUUGCAAAAGUCCUCUCAAAUCCUAUGAAAUCAAAUUCUAUACCUUUCAAAAGAGCUUGAAGCUUGCUCUCCAACCCAAAAAUCCCGAUCUCGGAAUGCCUUCUUCUUUUUCCUCUCCUUUCCUUUAACUCGGUGAGGUCCCUCAUUCUUCCGCCCUGGGCUCCGAAUUAGAAAAGCAGAUCCGCCUCCAUAGAAUUCUUGCCUCUAAAAAGAUCUUUUUAUAGAAAAGAUAUUUUUCUGAAACUGCAUAGAGAAUGGAACAACUUAAAAUGGAACCAAACCCUAUAUAUUUGGGACCUCAUUGGGUUGUUUAACCAAGUCUGGUCUCAUACUAGGUAAGAGGCUCGUAAUAGGACCUAAAUUGGAUGUCCCCGUAAUUGGGUCAAAUUGGCCCUUCACAUCACAUUCACUUGAAUAUUGAAUUGGUCCUUUCCACUUUUGUCGACUCUUGGUAAGAACGGCUUGGACUUAUUCUACCCGAUGUAUCAGAGAAUCUUGAGGAUCCAGAUUCAUCCCUUCAAUUUUUUCCUAGCUUUGGAUCUGUUGAUCCCAAUUAUUGAAAUUGAACGGAGUAUUACAUUGCUUAUAAGUAUGCCCCAACUGCUUGCUAUUUCCACACUCUAGCACGUGAUUGUCAAUGACUUUGGAAUUGGAACAUUCAAUAGCAUAAUGACCAAUUCGUCUGCAACGAAAACAACAAAGUCAUCUUACUGUACCUCCAUCAGGCAUAUUGGGUGUUUCCACUGAUAUAUACCUCGUAAGCUUGUUCCAUGUAGGAUUAGAAAAUGAUCCUGGUCGUUCUGUUGGUACAAAGGGUACUUGGUUCGAUGACGCCGGUGGAACAUACACUAGUGUCACAUUCGAUGGUAUAGAUUGUAAUGGAGUGAUAUUAACUGGCCCUUGAAUAUUGGCACUGGUAUUGGCCACUGCUUCUAACAUCUAAGCUAAUUAAAUAUUAAUAAAUCUUUUCUAUUUAUAUUUUUACCACAUAGUCGUAUCGCAAUACGACAUCCACCCCCUCUGAACCUAUGCAUCUUCUCAUAUGCACCAAAUAGUCUAGUUGUUAUUUGAAUUAUAAUAUGUUCUCCAAGUCUUCGUCCAAAUCCUCUUCAUCACCUUUGCUAUCCAAGUCAAUUUCAUCUUCUUGUUGAAGAAUAUCUAUGUCUCCACCAAGGUCUUCUAUAUUUAUUUUUGUGCAUCUUUUUUUAUAUAUUUUAACUCGCUUCCUUACAAUUGGUAUUUUUAACCUUUUUUUAUCUAACUCCCGUAAUGAAUAAGUUACGUUAUCAUGAAGAGUUGUUACCACAUACGGUCUAAGCCAUCGCUUAAAAAACUUCUUUAAAGUACUAUGUUAAUUGUCCAAGCUACUACCAUAGACCAAAAUCCAAUCACCUUCUUCAAUUGCUUUAGGCCUCAAUCGAUGUUGCUUAUCAAAUCUUCCCUUGUUUUGUAACCUUCAUCUUUUUAAUCUUUCUAAUACUAUUUACACAUCUUCCGAACUUUGCUCUAAUUGUUGAAUUCUAAUAGCUAAAAGUUCUUCUCCUGUCAAUCCAUCUUUCUAUGGUAGCACACUCCAAGUAGAUACCUUUUCUUCAAUUGGCAUAAUUGAUUUUUGACCUGUCAUAAGCUCAAUAAGCAUAUAUCCUGUUACGGAGCUAUGAGUUGUUUGAUCAGCCCAUAAUGCAAAUGACAAAAGUCAUGGCCAUUCUCUAACCUUUCUAUUAUAAGCUUUAACUAAUGCUUUCACAAUUGGUGGGUGACCACACUAACUUUUUACAUUUCCUUCAGGAUUAUAAGCAGUACUUAGUGAUAGUUUAAUUCCACAUCUUUCAAAGAAUUCACGAGCUUCUUGUGCAUUUAAUUCUCCAUGAUCUGCAAUGAUUUUUCCUACACAUUCGUAGCAGCAAAUAACAUCUUUAAGCAAAAAUCUACAAAUUUCUUCCAUAGAUUUUGUUCUCAAUGUUCUUCUUUCUACUUGAUUUGAUAAAUUUUCAUGAGCUAAGACCAAAUAUCUCAUUUGCCAUAACCCGAUUGGUAUAAUAACCAAAUCAACAAUGUAUUUAAAAUGAAAAGCUAGAGGAUAUAUAGGAUGAAGACCAUCUUGAUGUCAUAUAUUAGAAUAUGUUUGAUAAAUUUUACAUGAUCCUACAAAUAAGAGCACAUCUUGAUACAUAUUUUUCCACCAAUAUCGUUCCUUAAGUUUAGCAAAAGUAGCCCAAAUUCCUCUAUGUCCUAUCCAUAAACUAUCAUGAAACCCCUUUAAUAAUUUUUUUUUCUCUUCUUUAUUGCCUAUCACUCUUUGUAGCAUUCCAAUUCCUUUCUUUGGUCUCUUCUAUAAGAAUCCUUCUUGAAGCAAAAAUCCAUAUACCUUUUUUUUUAUUUGUUUAAAUUUUUUUGUAGACCAAUUUUUUUGCUUAGUCAAGGUAUUCAAAUAAUGACCAAUAUCGAAUAAUUCUCCUUUAUAAAAUUCUUCAAGAAAUAGCUUGUCUUCUUUGUUAAGAUUUGAUACUAAAUAGAAUUUUGACCCAACAUCAUCAAUGUCUUCAACUAUUUUGUCUUUUCUUUCAUAUCUUGCUCGAGAUAGCAUGUCUGCUACUAAAUUUUCUUUUCCAAUAAUAUGCUUAAAUUUUGGAUUUAAUGACUUAAUAUAAGCAAUUUAUCUUAACAUUGCAAUAUUUGGUAUUGAAUAAUUAGUAAUCAUUCCAAGCAAUGGCAAUCAAUCCAUUUUAAUUACUACUGCUGCACCAAUCAAAUAAUCCCUUUCAACUUUCAUAGCCAAAAUAACUCCCUAAAGUUCUCUUUUGACUUACAAAUAUGCACGUUGAUAAGUACUUAAAAAUUUAGUUCUAAAUCGAAAUCCAAAUCUAUUUCCACUUGAAUCAUCUUGAUCCACAGCCCAUCCAAUAGCAAUAGGAUUAGUAUCCACAGUAAGAAUUACUUGUCUAUUAUAGUCAUAAUCAAUUUUUCUUAAAAUUGGAGGUGUCACCAAUAACACCUUUAGCUUCUGCAUUCCUUCAGUAUGCUUUCUUUUCCAUUUAAAUUGAUAAUCUUUAUGUAAUAAUUCAUACAAUGGAUCUAUUACAUGAGCAUAAUGAAGAAUCCAUAUAUGAUAAAAUACACAAGCUCCAAAAAACCUGCAUACUUCUGUUAAAGAGUCACAUAAAUCCUUCAUCCUUCCAAUUGCAUCAACUUUAUUUGGAUUUGACUUUCUUCCAUAAAACCCACACAAAUACCCAACAAUAAGAACUUCCUGCAUUCCAAAUGUAGAUUUUGCUCCUGAAAGUGUAAGAUGAACCUCUUCAAGUCGAGUUAAAAUCUUUUCACAAUCUUGUAUAUGAUCAACAACAUAUUUGCGACACCCUUUCUUAUCUAAAGUUUCAUCUUUUUUUCCUUCUUAAUAUUUUUUGAUAGGAACAUCAUCUAAAAAAGGUAUAGUUUUUUCAGAAAUGAAGUCUCUUAAUACCUUGUUUAUCCCAUUCAUCAUAUGUGCAACUGAGUCAGUAGUACUUUGAGGGAGGGUACAUAUUUUAAGCAAUCCAAGUGGCAUUCUCAUUGUUGUUAGAUCUCUAUUCCCAUGCGUAAGUUGAAAUUGAUCAUAAUACAAAUACAAAUCACCCAUUGAAUAAAUUACCCUUCCGACAAAUACUUCUGUAAACUCGUCUAUAAGAGGUCCUAUACCUGUAUUUCUUAUAGUUAUUGCAUUCAUUGGCUGCAUAUCUUGAAUAAAACUUAAUGAUCUUUUUUUCUUAGGCAUCAUAAACCAACGAUUAGAAUAUGGAGCAAAAGAAGGCUCCAAAAUUUUUAUUUGUAUCUUUUCUUUCAAUAAUUCCACCAAUUUAGAUAAAUGUGUCCUCGGCACAGGAAUUGGCCUUAAGUUCCAAGGUACAUGAGGUACUGUAAAGAUAACCAUAGGAGCAACAACAUUAAGAUCUCCACAUCCUAUUUCACGAGAUCCAAAGGCAAAUGAUUUACCUUGUUUUGAAAGUAUUUUUUUUAAAAUAUUUAAUUUCUGCUGGAUAUAAAGAACCAUCACAUCCAAUCUUCAAUUCUUCAAAAGUCUCCUUUGUAAACUGAUGUCCAAUCUAUUUUGGAUCUCUUAAACUCUCUCUUUUUGAUGCUUCUUCCAUUUGCUCCUUAGAAUCUUCUAGUAAAGGUCUGGCAACAAGUUUUAUCUUUUUAUCUAUUGUUUGAUAUUUUGUCUCUACAAUAACUUCUAGUGCUUGAAAAGAUUCAAGUAUAGAAUAAACCUCCGUCGAAUGAAUUUCUACAAUCUUAUCAUUAUCUCUUAAUCUAAUAGAUGUAAUUAAUUCUAAAGAAUCCUUCAAUCUAUUUUUUUCAUAAAUACCUUAAAUCUUUUCAUCAUCUUCUAAUGUCCCUUACUUACGUAAUUGUAACGGAUACAGAAAUACAAGCUCGAGAUCUAACAAGAAGUUCAAGCAGAAUUGACAAGAAUUAGAUUAAUCAGAUGAAUACAACAACAACACCAGAGAGGUGAGCUAGAGCUCCAAGAGAUGUGUUGUCGAGACUGAAGAAUUCUUCAGCCUUGAUUCUAAUAUAUACUCCUAUUUACGAAGCUUUUUAAGCAACUUCCACCAACUAGGAAGCUUCUCAAGUAACUUCUACCAACUAAGAAGCUUCUCAAGCAACUUCCACCAAUUAAGAAGCUUCUCAAGUAACUUCGAUCAACUAAGAAGCUUUUAGAAGGUUCCAGAGAUUUACUACUAAAAGGUUCUAGAAACUUGUCUCUUGAAGGUUCUAAGUACUUUGUCCCUAACAUCACCCCCUCCUUUAGCUUCGAGAUCUCUGAGAUGCAAUAUUAUUGUUAAUUAGUACCAACGUAAGAAAACGAAGAUCUGUCGUAUAACGUCUGCUAUGACUUCUAAUUGUUGUUCACGAGGUAAGUGGUUCAUCGAUCCUUGAAGCUAAUGGUAGUGAUCCACACCUUCGACUUUUGACUAAGCAUGAACUUUCGUGUCCUCAUUGUGAAAUUGUCCUACAAACAUGCCUUUUGGCUGACCAUCGUAAACAGGCUCAAACUCAAAUACAAUCACCAAUGAUCAGUUAUUCCGUAUCCUUCGUCGUCGUCAUGAUGUAGGCAGUUUUUCAUCUCGGGGUCACCAUCGUGAACUAGUUGGUUGAGAUAAUCUGACUGGCAUAGUAUCUAUCUCUUGGCUAUCCAUAUCAGAAGACCAAACUAUGGCUAUUGAAAAAAUUCUUCUUUAUCUUGGAAGAAAUAACUACAUCAAACUACGAGUUUUGGUGGUGCUCUCCCCCUUUCUUAUAUUCUUGGGUGAGCAAGCUUUAGAAAGAAGCUAUCGUCGAACCGGCUUAGGUUUAUGAGGAUGUUGUUGAUGAAACUCUUGUACCUUUUGUGACGAAUUGGCAAGAUUUUUAGCAGGUUCCCACGUUUGCUCAUUAAUGUCGUAGCCGCACCAAUGAACAAGAUACUCCAAUUUGUCCCACCUUUGUUAUGAAUCCAACACCUUUUCAACCUCGUAUUCUUCGUGGUUCUCGGAUAAUACUAGGUGGCGAACAUUACACUCUUCCAAGAAAAGACGACUUUCGAUAAGGCUCCAACAAAGAAACAUGAAAGAGUGGAUGUACCUUCAUAGAAGCCGGUAAUUCCAAACUGUACGCCACUCGAUUGAUUUGCUUCUGGAUGAUAAAUAGUCCCAAUCUUCAAUAGUCUAACUUAUCACAUGGUCGCUUGGUCUUGAUAUUCCGUCAAAGAAGCCAUGCUUUAUCUCCAAUUUUGAAAGUAGGUGCUUGAUUUCGAAAUCUAUCUGCAGACGCCUUGUAGGAUUUUUGAGCGGAUUGUAAUUGAAGCUUCAACAUAGUUUGAAGCUCUGAUAGUUGCUUCGUAAAGCCUUCAGCUCCUGGAUUGUUAUUUGUUAAUGGACUCAAUAAAUCAAGCUUGAGAUGAUAUCCAUAGUUGGAAAAGUAUGGUGUGUAUUGAGUCGAUGCAUGGAGGGUGUUGUUAUAUGCAAACUCAGCUAGCGACAGAUAUGCGGUCCAAUCAUCUUGCUGAUAGUUGAUGCUGCAUCGUAAGUAUUGUUCCAAGACUUGGUUCACCCGUUCUGAUUGGCCGUCAGUUUGAGGAUGAAAAGCCGAAGAGAGCUUGAUAUCCACCUUCAGUAUCUCAAAAAGAGAUCUCCAAAACUUUGAUUCAAACUGGGUUCUUUAAUCUAAUACGAUAUCAUCUGAUAGUCCAUGAUAUCGAUACAUAUUAUCGAGAAAGAGCCUUGUUGUGAUUUCACUGGACGAUGUCUUCUUGCAAGGAACAAAGUGUGCCAUCUUUGUAAGCCGAUCUACAAUGACAAAGAUGCUGUCAAAUGAAUUCGAUGAUGGCAGGUCCGUCAUGAAGUCCAUGGAAAAUGAAGACUAUGGUUGACAUGAAAUUGGCAAUGGCUGUAAAAGUCCAUAAGGGCAAUGUCGAGGAUUCAUGGAUCUUGAACAAAUAUCGUAGGAGAGGACAAAAUCUUUUACAUCCUUCCACAUUUGGGGCCACGAGAUAUCUCGAGAAAUAAGCCCCAGGGUCUUGCUAAAUCCAAAAUGUCCCAGAGCUGGAAAAUCAUGGCGAGAUUGAAGAACUCGAAGUCGUGCUAAUCCUUUUGGAAUAUACAACCACUCCUCAAAGUAUAAAAGAUCUCCCUCCACCUAGAACUUGUUGUCAUUGGUACGCUGCUUGAUAUCAACGGCUACUAGAUCUUCAAUGGUCAGGGCACAUACCUGGUUCAGGAAGUCAGCAUCAAUUGGCACAAUAGUAGCGCAAAGCUGAAAUUACUCUGGCUUCAACAAUGUCGUACAUUGUUGAUCAAAUGCUGCUUCUCCAGCCUUUGGUACAAGAUACGAUCUCCUCGAUAAGGCAUCGGAUAAUCCUUGCUACUUUCCAGGUCGAUAAGUGAUAAUAAAAUUGAAUCUAGAUAGCAACAUACUCCACCGAGCUUGACGUCGAUUUCAAACUUGAGCCGACAUGAAAUACUCUAAAUUCUUGUGAUCUGUGUAUACGGUCACUGGAUGUGCAGCUCUUUUAAGAAAGUGAUGCCAUUCUUAGAAAGAAUCCACUAUAGCAAAAAGUUCCUUAUCGUGGAUCUCAUAAUUGAUUUCAACAGCAAAGAACUUUCGAGAAUGAAAUGCAUCUAGAUGGAGCUUUUUGUCUUCUCCCAUUUCUGAAAGUAUAGCUCCUAAAGCAAAAUCCGAAGCAUCAGUUUCUAAAAAGAAGGCCUUUAUAAAAGCUGGAUGUACCAAGAUUGGAGUGGUAGUAAAUGCUAUCUUCAGGUCUUGAAACGCCUUUUCUGCUAGAGGUCUCCAUUCCAGCUUAUCCUUGCAUGUCAAUCGAGUGAGAAGAGUAGCAACUUGAGAGUAAUUCUUGAUGAUGAUUCGAUAGAAGUUAGUAAAACUAAGAAAGCAUUGUAUGUCUCUAACUGUCUUUAAAACCUCCCAGGACACGAUUGCUUCCACCUUCUUGGGGUCCAUCUUCAAGCCUUCCGUAGUCGCAACGAACCUCAAAAAUUCCAUCUCUAUUUGGUGAAAUAAACACUUCUCCAAUUUGGUAUAUAGUCCUCGCUUGCAUAGUUUCUCCAAGACCAAAUAAAUGUACUUUUCAUGCUCUUCCUCAUUUUUGGAGAAUAUUAGAAUAUCAUUCAAAUAGAUGACAACAAAAUCGUCAAGGUACUCCCGAAAAAUAUCAUUCAUCAUAUGUUGGAAGACUACUGGAUCAUUGGUAAGACCAAAGGGCAUGACAUUAUACUCAAAAUGGCCAUAUCUUGUACGGAAUGCUGUCUUUCACUCAUCUCCUUCUUUGAUUUGUACGAGGUUAUAAGCUCCCCUUAGAUCAAUUUCUGUAAAGAUCCUUGCACGUCCAAGUUGUUCUAAGAGACCAUAAAUCAAGGGUAACGGGUAACGAUUCUUCUUUGUUAUCUUGUUGAGGCCUCGAUAGUCCAUGCACAUCCGCAACGAGCCAUCUUUCUUCUUUACAAAUAAGAUGGGUGCCCUAGCUGAUGAUUUUGAAUGAUGGAUGAAGUUCUUGGCUAGAUUCUCAUCGAUGUACUUCCGCAACUCCACCAACUCAGUCUGUGACAGAUUGUAGAUUGGGCCAAAAGGCGGUUGUGCUCCUUCUUGUAAGUCUAUGGCGCAAUCAUAUGGUCGGUGUUCCGGUAGCAUGUCAGCAUUCUUCUUUUGAAACACGUCUUUAAAAUCUUUAUAUUGCUCAAGUAUACUUGCUGUCGAGAUCUUUCUCCGGUAGUUGGAGCCGCAUAAAUGACAAACGGUGUACCUUCCUUAAAUGAUCUUACAAACACUCUUGCUCCAAUGAAUAAGGAUUUCUUUAUUUGGGAUUUUCUACUAGGCUUGCUCUUGGAUGCUUUUGUGGGAAAGGUUAUCUUCUGCAACCUCCAAUCUAUGGAUGGAUUAUACUUUUCUGACCAAGAAAGACCAAGAAUAACAGGAUUUGAUGGAGUUUUAAUAAUAUUGAGAAUAAUAUGGCUACUAUGGCCCUUAAAUGUCACUUCUAUAGGUUCUGAUUCAUGGGUGAUACUACCAGACAAUAAAGGUCGUCCAUCUAUGACCUCAACGUGAACAAGUUUAGAUUUUUAUACUAAAGGAAUCUUAUGAUGCUUUGCAAAUUCUUCGUCUAAAAAACAAGCAGAUGCUCCUGAAUCUAAUAAUGUUAAGGUUCUCAAUUUUUGAAGACCAAUAAAUAAAGGAAUUAUAAAGCAAAAGGCAGGUUGAGUGGAAAGAAAGGAACCUGGUUGUUGUUGCAAUAUUUCACUGUCCAGUCGCACGGUUCCUAUUGUGGCUGGGCAUCCUCGUUUUCCUGAACAAAUGCGCCCCUAGUCCUGAUAAUGCGUCGAUUUUGCUUCUUGGAGCAAUUUUCAACUUUGUGGCCUUCUUCACCGCAAUAUAAGCAUAGACCUUCCUCCAAACGCCGCUUUUUUUCUUCUAGAGUAAGGAAUUUGACACGUACCAUAUCAAUUUGCAUGUCUUCUACCUAUGAAUGUGAAUUCACACUGCUUACCGACAUAGUUGGGGCGUGGCAAACCAUAUGUUGUCUUGAGCAUUGAUCUUGGCGACGUUGGAAUACGAGGUUAUUGUACUUCACAACUUGGUUAAUAGCUUCGUUGAGCGUUGACGGAUCGAAAAGAGUUAGUAGUAAAUCCUUCACAUCGUCCUUUAAACUCCAAUAGAAUUGACUCAUCAACGCUUCUUCGUCCCAAUUGAUGUCGCAUGCUAGUUGCCUGAAAUCUGAUGCAUAGAUUGAUGUAGAGCGCAUCCCUUGUCGUUGUCAUGUUGUAACACGAGUAUACUGUGAAAAUAUAAAGGAAGAGGACUUUUAUUAAUGUUCAGUUAUCUCGAAUAUUGGGAGCAACGACCAAUUCCAGUGCAAAUACUAAGAGGCUAGGUUCAGUCACCCCGUUACAGUCAGCCGCGGCAUACUGAAAUGCUCCAUUCGAUUACUAUAACGGGAGUCUGCAGGAAGAGAAAGGACCAAUUCACAUGACGGGUGAGUCUAGUUUGAAGAGCCAAUUGGAUCCAAUUUCAAGAAUCCAAUCUGGGUCCUCUUACCCAAUAUGAGACCUGAAUUGGUCAGGCAAUCCAAUGCAGUCUAAUUACUGAAAAAUCCGGAUCUUACUACUAAAUUCUUAUCCAAUAUGAGACCUGAAUUGGUCGGGCGACUCAAUGUGGUCCUGAUUAUGGGGUUUCGAUUCUGUUUCAAGCUGUCCUGUUCUCUGUGCCGUUUCAGGGAACGUUGUUUUUGGUAAAAGGAUCUCUUAAAGGUAAAAAUGGAGGAGAAAGCUCUGACGGCGAGAGCUAAUUUUAGAUCCAAGACGGAAGGAUCCAAUUCCGAAUCCAAGACAGAAGGAGCCAAUUCCGGAUCCAAGACGGAAGGAGCCAAUUCCGGAUCCAAGACGGAAGAUUGAAGAGAUUCAGAGGCUAGGGUUUGAAAGAGGGGAGAAUUAGGGUUAAAGGGGAAGAAGGUUAAGAAAUAGGGGGGGUUUUUUUGGGGGGUUUUUUCAGUGGGUUUUUUUAGUGGGUUUUUUCAGUGGGGUUUUUUUAGGGGGUUUUUUCGGAGGGUUUUUUCAGUGGGUUUUUUCAGUGGGGUUUUUUCAAUGAGGGUUUUUUGGAUCAAAGAGCUAGCUUCAAGCUCUUUUCAAGGUCACUAGUUUGGUUUCAUUAGGAUUUAUGAGGGGAGAGCAAUCGCUGCUCAAAGUCAGUGUUUAUUUUGGUGUUUCAGAUUUUAUAUAAAACAUUGAUGGUUUGCAUUCUCAAUCGGUUUGUGCAAGUUGUGUAGCAUCUAUGGAUCAAAAUUUGGUAUUGUCUGGAUAGUCGGGUGUGCUAAGUGUAUACAAAAAUUUUUGUUAAUCUAACGAUGCAAUCAAGAGAUAUCUGGGUUUUAGUACAAAGAGUUGUCGGAAGUUGGCAGUCUAGGGUUGGAUAGGAUUUCUGUGAUAUCUGAAGAUCUACCAGUUGGAUCGACGUAAUUUUUGGCUUGGAAAUAGAAGAUUUGGAGAUCAAGUGGCUAUUCAAUUUUGAGCUGGAGUUAACGGUUGACAAAGGAGAAAUCACUUCUGGAGUUUCUACAUCAAAUUUCAAGGUUGCGGCCGAGUGUCAUCAGUGCGAUUUUUGGGCGUUUUCUUGCAAUCUGUAAGUUGGAUUGGGCUAAAAUUUUUUGAGCAUAUAGAAGGCUUAUACUGGUAUUUAGGUGCAAAAUUUCACACUAAGUGGACGGUUGGAUCAAAAGUUACAGCUUGUCAAAGCUCACUAGCUAGGAUUAGGGCUUGUUAAGAAAAAUAAAAACAACUUAAUUAUAAAAGAAAUAAAGCAAUUGGAAUAUUGUAUGGUUAAAAUGACUAUGAGGAGUGUUUUUAAAUACUUGGGAAUUGAUAUUUCAAUUAUAUUCUUCAUACAUGGAUAAAAUCUAUUAAGGUUUCUUUAUUAUUUACAAAAACAACUAUACCUUCCACAACCAGAUACCCAAUGUAUUCCCAAACAAGAGAGCACGUAAUACGACAUAAGUAGUGAACCCGACGUGAACGUUUGGGGUGGAAGGUAUUGGAUUUUGUAUGCGGUUAUUUGGAUUGAUGGUGCAAGAUGAUAAGGUUGAUUUAAGAGUUUUUGGAAGACUUGGAGCUUUGGAGGAUAUUUUGAAAAGCAAUGGUGAUAUUUGGAUUAUUAUGGAGUAUAUUAUGGCUUAUAGACAUCUUGGGGCAUUUUGAGGUAUCAUAAGUUAUUUAUUGGAGCAUUUCAAGGGAUAUUUUUUUAACAUUGUGGAAGAAAAUGGAAGAUAUUUCAAUGAAGUCUUUAGAUAGGUUGAAUACUUUGGAUGGACCAAAUAUUAAAGAGUUUUUUGAGGCUUUUUGUAUAUUCAUGGAAGAACAACAAAAGAUACAAGCAAUUGAAAGGGAUAUCACAAAGGCAUUACAAGGAAUUUUCAACAAAUUUGGGAGGUUUAACGGAUGCAAUAUCACUAAGUUUUUACAAGUUUAUACAUGUGAGAUGGAGAUAUGCCAAAUCCCUGAGGCAAAGAUGAUUUCAAGCUUUUAUUUGGCUAUUGAACCUGGGAUUCAUAGAAAGGUGAAGAGAUUACUUGAAAGGGAUGUGGAGACAUGGUCAAAAUUUCAAGAACUUUUGAAGAAAGAAUUUAUUGAUGCAAAUGAGGAUAAGAUUACCAAGCGACAAUUUUUGGAUUGGAUAGAAUUACAACCAGGCACGCAUAUGGAUCUUUAUGAAUUCUUGAAAGAAUUUGAAAAGAGGUUUUAUCGAUUUUCAUCCUCAGAGAGACAGUCAUUGGAUGUUAUAAAAAUAGAAUUAUUUUUAAAUGGUCUUGAUGAUGCCAUGGGAGACAAACUUUUUAUACUUCUUGCAGAUGAGUCUACGGAGAGUGGUUGUACUAGCAAUUGGGAAGAGUUGAAAGAAGCAACAAUUCUUUUAGCAAAGCAACAAAGAGCACAAGCUAAAGGAGUUGGAGUAUGAUCUAAGAAAUCUUCUACUUUGGCUUCUAUAUCAUCUUUAUCAAUACAAGGGAUUAAUCUUGAAAAAAGAGAAAUAGAACAGCAACUGGAGGACUUCAAAGGAGGAGCCAAUNNNNNNNNNNNNNNNNNNNNNNNNNNNNNNNNNNNNNNNNNNNNNNNNNNNNNNNNNNNNNNNNNNNNNNNNNNNNNNNNNNNNNNNNNNNNNNNNNNNNNNNNNNNNNNNNNNNNNNNNNNNNNNNNNNNNNNNNNNNNNNNNNNNNNNNNNNNNNNNNNNNNNNNNNNNNNNNNNNNNNNNNNNNNNNNNNNNNNNNNNNNNNNNNNNNNNNNNNNNNNNNNNNNNNNNNNNNNNNNNNNNNNNNNNNNNNNNNNNNNNNNNNNNNNNNNNNNNNNNNNNNNNNNNNNNNNNNNNNNNNNNNNNNNNNNNNNNNNNNNNNNNNNNNNNNNNNNNNNNNNNNNNNNNNNNNNNNNNNNNNNNNNNNNNNNNNNNNNNNNNNNNNNNNNNNNNNNNNNNNNNNNNNNNNNNNNNNNNNNNNNNNNNNNNNNNNNNNNNNNNNNNNNNNNNNNNNNNNNNNNNNNNNNNNNNNNNNNNNNNNNNNNNNNNNNNNNNNNNNNNNNNNNNNNNNNNNNNNNNNNNNNNNNNNNNNNNNNNNNNNNNNNNNNNNNNNNNNNNNNNNNNNNNNNNNNNNNNNNNNNNNNNNNNNNNNNNNNNNNNNNNNNNNNNNNNNNNNNNNNNNNNNNNNNNNNNNNNNNNNNNNNNNNNNNNNNNNNNNNNNNNNNNNNNNNNNNNNNNNNNNNNNNNNNNNNNNNNNNNNNNNNNNNNNNNNNNNNNNNNNNNNNNNNNNNNNNNNNNNNNNNNNNNNNNNNNNNNNNNNNNNNNNNNNNNNNNNNNNNNNNNNNNNNNNNNNNNNNNNNNNNNNNNNNNNNNNGUUGGAUGUUUCCAAUUUACUUGUAUAAGAUGGAUACAUGGAUUCUUGGUAUUGCAUAAAGAAUAAUGGUGUACUGAAUUUGGCACAUACCGGAGGAUGUGCAGGUUCAGAGGGGGUGGAUGUGGUGUUGUAACACGAGUAUACUGUGAAAAUAUAAAGAAAGAGGACUUUUAUUAAUGUUCAGUUACCUCGAAUAUUGGGAGCAACGACCAAUUCCAGUGUAAAUACUGAGAGGCUAGAUUCAGUCACCCCGUUACAGUCAGCCGGGGCUUACUGAAAUGCUCCGUUUGAUUCCAAUAACGGGAGUUAGCAGAAAGGGAAAGGGCCAAUUCAACGACGGGUGAGCCUGAUUCAAAGAGCCAAUUGGAUCCAAUUUCAAGACAUCCAAUCCAGGUCCUCUUAUCCAAUAUGAGACUUGAAUUGGUCGGGCAGCCCAAUGCGGUCCAAUUGCGGGAACAUCCAGGUCUUACUACGGGUCUCUUAUCCAAUAUGAGACCUGAAUUGGUCGGGCGACUCAAUGUUGUCCCGAUUACGGGGCUCCGAUUCCGUUUCAGGCUGUUCCGUCCUUUAUGCUGUUCCGGGGACGUCCUUUUGAUAAAAGGAUCUCUUAAAGGUAAAAACGGAGGAGAAAGCUCUGACGACAGAGCCAAUUCUGGAUCUAAGACGGAAGGAGCCAAUUCCGGAUCCAAGACGGAAGGAGCCAAUUCCGGAUCCUAGACGGAAGGAGCCAAUUCCGGAUCUAAGAUGGAAGGAGCCAAUUCCGGAUCUAAGAUGGAAGGAGCCAAUUUUGGAUCCAAGACGGAAGGAGCCAAUUUCGGAUCCAAGAUGGAAGGAGCCAAUUUCGGAUCCAAGACGGAAGAUUGAAGAAAUUCAGAGGCUAGGGUUUGAAAGAGGGAAGAAUUAGGGUUAAAGGAGAGGAAGGUUAAGAAAUAGAGGGGGUUUUUUCAGAUCGGGUUUUUGGAAUCGAAGAGCUAGCUUCAAGCUCUUUUCAAGGUCACUAGUUUGGUUUCAUUAGGGUUUGUGAGGGGAGAGCAAUCGCUGCUCAAAGUUAGUGUUUAUUUUGGUGUUUCAGAUUUUAUAUAAAACAUUGAUGGUUUGCAUUCUCAAUCGGUUUGUGCAAGUCGUGUAGCAUCUAUAGAUCAAAAUUUGGUAUUGUCUGGAUAGUUGGGUGUGCUAAGUGUAUACAAAAAUUUGUGUUAAUCUAACGAUGCAAUCAAGAGAUAUCUGGGUUUUAGUACAAAGGGUUGUCGGAAGUUGGUAGUCUAGGGUUGGAUAGGGUUUUUGUGAUAUCUGAAGAUGUACCGGUUGGAUCGACGUAAUUUUUGGCUUGGUAAUAGAAGAUUUGGAGAUCAAGCGGCUAUUCAAUUUUGAGCUGGAGUUAACGGUUGACAAAGGAGAAAUCACUUUUGGAGUUUCUACAUCAAAUUUCAAGGUUGCGGCCGAGUGUCAUCAGUGCGAUUUUUGGGCGUUUUCUUGCAAUCUGUAAGUUGGAUUGGGCUAAAAUUUUUUGAGCAUAUAGAAGGCUUAUACUGGUAUUUAGGUGCAAAAUUUCACACUAAGUGGACGGUUGGAUCAAAAGUUACAGCUUGUCAAAGCUCACUAGCUAGGAUUAGGGCUUGUUAAGAAAAAUAAAAACAACUUAAUUAUAAAAGAAAUAAAGCAAUUGGAAUAUUGUAUGGUUAAAAUGACUAUGAGGAGUGUUUUUAAAUACUUGGGAAUUGAUAUUUCAAUUAUAUUCUUCAUACAUGGAUAAAAUCUAUUAAGGUUUCUUUAUUAUUUACAAAAACAACUAUACCUUCCACAACCAGAUACCCAAUGUAUUCCCAAACAAGAGAGCACGUAAUACGACAUAAGUAGUGAACCCGACGUGAACGUUUGGGGUGGAAGGUAUUGGAUUUUGUAUGCGGUUAUUUGGAUUGAUGGUGCAAGAUGAUAAGGUUGAUUUAAGAGUUUUUGGAAGACUUGGAGCUUUGGAGGAUAUUUUGAAAAGCAAUAGUGAUAUUUGGAUUAUUAUGGAGUAUAUUAUGGCUUUAUAGACAUCUCGGGGCAUUUUGAGGUAUCAUAAGUUAUUUAUUGGAGCAUUUCUAGGGAUAUUUUUUUAACAUUGUGGAAGAAAAUACAAGAUAUUUCAAUGAAGUCUUUAGAUAGGUUGAAUACUCUGGAUGGACCAAAUGUUAAAGAGUUUUUUGAGGCUUUUGUAUAUUCAUGGAAGAACAACAAAAGAUACAAGCAAUUGAAAGGGAUAUCACAAAGGCAUUACAAGGAAUUUUCAACAAAUUUGGGAGGUUUAACGGAUGCAACAUCUGUAUGCCCCGGUUGAUUGUAAUGGGGUGACUGAACCUGGCCACUCAGUAUUUGCACUAGAGUUGGUCGUUGCUCCCAAUAUUCAAGGUAACUGAAUAUUAAUAAAAGUCCCCUUUCUUUAUAUUUUCAUGGUAUACUCGUAUUACAACACGACAACCACUCCCUCUGAACUUGUGUAUCCUCCGAUAUGCAUUUAUUUACCCAAUUGCUGUUUGAUUCAGAAUAUAUCCUCUACGUCUUUGUCCAGUUCAUCUUCGUCACCUUCAUUAUCCAAAUCACUUUCAUCUUCUUGCUGCGGAAUCUCUAUACCUUCAUUAAGGUCUUCCAUAUUCAUCUCCGCAUGUCUUCGUUUAAAUAUUUUUACUUGCUUCCCUGUAAUUGGUACUUUCAAUUUUGUACCAUCUAACUCCCAUAAUGAGUAAGUCGCAUUAUCAUGAACAGUUGUUACUACAUAUGGUCCAAAUCAACGUUUUGAAAAUUUCCGCAAAGUACUAUGUUGAUUAUCCAGACUAUUGUCAUAAACAAGUAUCCAGUCACCUUCUUCGAUUGCUUUAGGUCUCAAUCAAUGUUGCUUAUCGGAUCGCGCCUUGUUUGGUAACCUUGUUCUUUUUAAUCUUUCCAAUGCUAUUUGCACAUCUUCCGAUCUUUGCUCCAAUUGUCGAAUCCUAAUAGCCAGAAGUUCUUCUCUUCUCAAUCCAUCUUCCCAUGGUAGCAUACUCCAAGUAAGUACUUUUCUUCAAUCGACAUAAUUGGUUUUUGACCUGUCAUAAGUUCUACUGGCAUAUAUCCUGUCACCGAACUAUGUGUUGUUCGAUCAGCCCAUAAUGCAAAUGACAAAAGCCGUGGCCACUCUUUAACCUUCCCAUUACAAGCUUUAACCAAUGCUUUCACAAUCGGUGGGUGACCGCGUUCGCUUUUCGCAUUCCCUUCUGGAUUAUAAGCAAUAGUUAGUGAUAGUUUAACUCCACAUUUUUCAAAGAACUUACAAGCUUCUUGUGCAUUUAAUUUUCCAUGAUCUGCAGUGAUUUUUCCUACGCACCCGUAACGGCAAAUGACAUCUUCAAGCAAAAACCUACAAAUCUCCUGUGUAGAUUUUGUCGUCAAUUCUCUUCCUUCUACUUGAUUUGAUAAAUCUUCACGAGCUAAAACCAAAUAUCUCAUCUGUCAUAACCCAACCGGCAUAAUAAUCAAAUCUACAACCCAUUUAAAAUGAAUAGCCAAAGGAUAUGUAGGAUGAAGACCAUCUCGAUGUCAGAUAUUAGAAUAUGAUUGACAGAUUUAACAUGACUCUACAAAUGAGAGCACAUCUCGAUACAUAUUUUUCCACCAAUAUCGUUCCUUGAGUUUAGCAAAAGUAGCCCAGAUUCCUCUAUGCCCUGCCCAUAAACUAUCAUGAAACUCCUUUAAUAAUUUUAGUUUUUCUUCUUUUUUGCCUAUCAUACGUCGUGGCAUCCCAAUUCCUUUCUUCGGUCUCUUCUAUAAGAAUCCAUCUCGAAGUAAAAAUCCAUAUUCUUUUUUUCUUAUUUGUUUGAAUUUUUCUGUAGAACAAUUCUCCUACUUAGUCAAGGUAUUCAAGUAAUGACUAAUAUCCAAUAAUUCUCCUUCAUAAGAUUCUUCAAGAAAUAGCUUGUCUUCUCUGUUGAGAUUUGAUAUUGAAUAGAAUUUCAAUCCGACGUCAUCAAUGUCUUCAACCAUUUCAUCCUCCCUCUCGUAUCUUGCUCGAGAUAGCAUGUCUGCUACUAAAUUGUCCUUCCCAGUACCAUGCUUGAAUUCCAGAUUUAGUGACUUAAUAUAAGAAAUCCAUCUCAACAUUGCAAUAUCUGGUGUUGAAUAGUUAAUAAUCAUUCUAAGCAAUGGCAAGCAAUCUGUUUCAAUUACUACUACAGCCCCAAUCAAAUAGUCCUUUUCAGCUUUCAUAGCCGAAACGACUCCCCAAAGUUCUCUUUUGACUUGCGAAUAUGCAGGCUGACGAAUACUUAAAACUUUAGCCCCAAAUCGAACUGCAAAUCUACUCCCAUUUGAAUCAUCUUGACCCACAACCCAUCCAAUGGCAAUUGGACUAGCGUCUACAGUAAGAAUCAGUGGUCUAUUGCACUUAUAAUCAACCUUCCUCAAUAUUGGAGGUAACAUCAAUAAUUUCUUCAAUCUUUGCAUUGUCUUAAUGUACCUUUCUUGCCAUUUAAAUCGGUAACCCUUGCGUAACAGUUCAUAUAAUGGAUCGGCUAUGUGAGCAUAAUGAGGGAUCCAGAUUCGAUAAAAUACACAUGCACCCAAAAACCUGCGAACCUCUGUUAAAGAACCACAAUCCUCUUUCAUCCUUCCAAUUGCAUCAACUUUAGUUAGAUCUGGUUUUCUUCCAUAAGAUCCACAUAAAUGUCCAACAAUUACAGCUCUCGUACUCCAAAUACGGACUUCAUACCCGAUAAUGUAAGAUGAACUUCUCCAAGCCGAGUUAAAAUCUUUUCACAAUCUUGUAUAUGAUCAACAACAUAUUUGCGACACUCCCUCGUAUCUAAAGUUUCAUCCUUGUCUCCUUCUCUGCACCCUUUUAUAGGAACAUCAUCCAGAAAAGGUAUAGUCUUUUCCGAAAUAAAAUCUCUCAAUACCUUAUUCAUCCCAUUCAUCAUAUGCGCAACUGAAUUGGUUGCGCCUUGAGGAAGAGUGUACAUUCUUACCAAUCCAAGCAGUGUUCUCAUCGUUGUCAUAUCUCUACUUCCUUCGGUAAGUUAAAAUUGAUCAUAACCUGAAUACAAGUCACCCAUUGAAUAGAUCGCCCUUCCAGUAAACGCCUCAGCAAAUUCAUCCACAAUAGGUCGAAUUCCUACGUUCCUGACAGUUACAGCAUUCACCGGUUGCAUAUCUUGAAUAAACCGUAGUGACCUAUUCUUCUAAGGUACCGUAAACCAUCGACUAGUAUACGGCGCAAAUGAAGGUUCCAAUAUUUUCAUCUUUAUCUGUCCUUAGUAGUGGAAUCGGUCUUAGAUUCGAAGGUACAUGUGGUACAGUGAAGAUAACCAUAGGUGUUACAAUAUUUGGAUCCACAUACCCAAUUUCAUGAGAUUCGAAAGCAAAUGAUCUACCUUGUUUAGCCAACAUCUUUUUAAAGCAAGUAAUUUCCUCCGGCAAUAAAGAACCAUCAGAACCAAUCUUCAAUUCUUCAAAAGUCUCUUUAGUAAACCGAUGUCCAAUACUCAUUGGAUGUCUUAAACUUGCUUCUUUUGAUGCUUCUCCCAUUUGUUCUUUAGAAUCCUCUGGUAAUGGUCCGACAACAGGCUUUACUUUCUUAUCUUCUGUUUUAUAUCUCGUCUCUACAGUGACUUCUGGUGCUUGAAAAGAUUCAAGCAUGGUAUAAACCUCUCUUGAAUGAAUCUCAACAAUCUUAUUAUUAUCCCCUAACCCAAUAGAUGUAAUCAAUUCCAAUGAAUCUUCCAGUCCAUUUUCUUCAUAAACACCUAAAAUGCUUUCAUCAUCUUGCAAUGUACCUAACUUGCAUAAUUGUCCUUCAAUAUCAUAUAAUCUUUUUCUUUCUUUUCUUUUAAAAUCAUCAACUUUUUUAUACAUAAUAUUUCCAUUCUCCAAUAUACCAAUAGAACUCGCAUCGGAGGUACCUUCAUCUCGCAAGAGUACCUCCUCUUUUGUACCUCCAUGAUCUCGCUUUAGAGUGGAACCUCACCAAAAUCCUUAAAUCCUUCAAUAAUCUUUGGCAAUGGUUGCUCCCUCAACCUAUCGUGACUCCGAUCAUGGAUAGGAGGUACUGCUAGAAAAUGUACAGUUUUCCUCCCAUCCUCGCUACGUAUCCUUGUAUAAGCAGAACCGAUCUCAAGUACUUUUGUUUCCAUCCGCGUUGCCGUAAUAUAAGGUUGUCCUAAGAUCGACGGAUAAAACGUUGUAUCUUGAACAAAAAAAUGUUGCUCCAUCGCAACAUCCCCAAUAAGAAUUUUGACAUCUGGAUAAGCUCCAUAUAAUUCGCUCCAUGUGUUAUUAGCUGCUCGUAUUGUCCAUCCAUGUUCCAUAUCAAUUGGCCAUUUUUGCCUCUUAUAAAGAUCUUUAGACAUGAGAUUUAUUUCAGAACCAUAGUCGACUAAAGCAACAAUUGGUUCUUCUAUAUCUCCUACUUUUACCAAUACCUCAGUAGUUGCCCUUGCCUAAUGCUUUCGAGUAUAAUGGCUCAAAGUUUCCAUUUCUUUGUCACUAGAAUCUUCGAAACGUACUCGUUGAUUAUACCCAUUCUUUUCAUUUGUUAGUUGCUUGUAACCAAUAUCAACCUCUUCUUCAUCUCUAUAUAUUAUUGCAUCAAUAGCAUGACUCAUUCCAGUUUCGUCCAUUAAUUGCCUCUUUCGCUUAAUGCUGUCAAUGAUAACAUCAUAAAACUCCUUCUUUGCAAUUCUCAAAACUUCUUUCAAUGUGAAUCCCACCUUAGCAUUUAAUAUACGUUCUUCCAACACCCCUUUCAUAUUUGUUGCCGCUUCAAUGUCAGAAAGUAGCUUAUAAGCAAUUGAUUUGCCUUUAUCUUUUGUCUCCUUUGUUUUUUCUUCCUAUGAUGCUAAGGUUUUCUUUACAGGCAAUUCUUGUGAAGCUGCCUCCCGAUGUCGUGUUGUAACACGAGUAUAUAGUGAAAAUAAAAAGAAAGGGGAAUUUUAUUAAUAUUCAGUUACCUCGAAUAUUGGGAGCAUCGACCAACUCCAGUACAAAUACUGAGUGGUCAGGUUCAGUCACUCCGUUACAGUCAGCCGGGGCAUACUGAAAUGCUCUAUUCGAUUCCAAUAACGGGAGUCAGCACGAAGAGAAGGACCAAUUCACACGACGGGUUCGAGGAGCCAAUUGGAUCCAAUUUCGAUAAUCCAAUCCGGGUCCUCUUAUCCAAUAUGAGACCUGAAUUGGCCGGUCAACCCAAUGCACUCUAAUUACGGGAAAUCCAGGUCUUACUACGGGUCUUAGCCAAUCUGACGCGAGGACCAAUUUGACCCAAUUACGGGAACAUCAAAGUUACUACGGGCAUCUUUCCCAAUAUAAGACCUGAAUUGGUCGGGCGACUCAAUGUGGUCCCGAUUACGGGGUUCGAUUCUGUUUCAAGCUAUCCUGUUCUCUGUGCCGUUUCAAGGAACGUUGUUUUCGAUAAAUGGAUUUCUUAAAGGUAAAAACGGAGGAGAAAGCUUGACGGCGAGAGCCAAUUUUGGAUCCAAGCUUGAGGUGGGAGCUAAUUCUGGAUCUAAGACGAAAGAUUGAAGAAAUUCAGAGGAUAAGGUUAGGGGGGAUAUAGUUUUGAGGGGGGAGGUUUUUUCUUUUCGGGGAAUCGGGGGGGGAGCUAGUUUUCAAGCUUUUGCAAGGUUACCAGUUCGGUUUCAUUGGAGGUUUUUGAAGAUCAAGGGAAUUUAAUGUGAGGAGCUUGAUGCUUUGGAUCGGGGAAGGAAAGACAUAGAAUUUGGAUUUUUCUUCUUCGUAGAGUUUUGGGAAGACUGAGGCAAUUGCUGCUGAAGUCAGUGUUGUAAUGGUGAAUCGGGAUUUUUAAAUGAAGUGGGUUUGAAUACUCUUGACUGUUUUUUAAAAUCGAGUUACGUCUGUGAUUGAAGGAUUAAAGGGGUGUCUAUAGGAUUGAGUAUGCGGAGUGAAUGAAAUUUAUUGGGUUAAUCUUACAGGAUAGUCAGUGGAUACAAGAUCGUAAGUAUAAAAGGGUAUUGAAGAUUAACAGUUUGGAUUGUUUGGGGUUCUUUGCAAUGUCUAGAGACCUAUCGGCUGGGGCAAAAAAAAAGACUUCGACAAGCUGUCGAAGAGCAUCCGUAUAGAUUUAUUGUACAUUGUUGCAGUCGUUUAUAUUCCAGCAGUCAAAAACUGAUAGACUGCUUGACUAUCGGCGAAUCUCCAUACUACCUUCUACAGCCAGACACCUGGCGUGUCUCGAGCAGAAAAGCUUGUAAUACGACACCGAACCUUGUCUCCUCGAGUUUGCCUCUUAAAAGAAUUUUCUUCUCUAUUAUCAUCAAAAUUUCCUCGUCUCUUUUCUUCCAUCAAAGCUUCAUAUUGGCUCUUAGUAAUAUAUGCAUGAACUGAAAGAGACUCAACAGGAUCCUCCCAACCUGUUCUACCUCGUAUUGUAGCUGCAGUCCUCAAUAACGCUUCUCGAGGUAAUUUUCCUUCUUGCAUUGUAGAAACGGCAGAAGCCCAAAACUCACUAGUUUCCGUACUUCCACCAAGGUCAUCAUCUACUCUAGCACCAUAACUUGUACUUUCUCAUGCUGUUGUUUCAUGCUCUUUUAGGUAAUCUUGAACCAAUGCUCUUAUUCCUCUCUUGUCAAAAUUGGUCUAAAGAAGAUCAUCCCUAUCUUUCAAUGCUAUCUUCCCAUCUUUCGAGCAAAUAAUUCCCUGCCGUAUCAUAUUAUUAAAUUCAUUGCAAUCUUUUCUAGUGUGUGAAGCGUCAUCACACCAAAUGCAUCUUUGUACAUAUUCUUAUUUUGAAACAUUCUUCGAAUUGUUUAUAGAAGUAUUUUCUUCAAGUCUUGCCAAUUUGAUUUGAAGAUCUCACAUUCCUCGUAUAAUUUCUUCCAUCUCUAUAUCUGCUUUCUUUGAUAAGGAUGUCGAAGGUUGAAAUGUAGGCAUUGUUGGUGGUGUUGUACGUAUUGGAGCUUUGGGUGCUUGUACUGUUUUCAGAAUAUUCUUCCUAUCCUUCCUCCUUUCUUUUUUUGUAAGCAAUCCCACCGCAUCUUCAACGUUAUUCCACUUCGUUGUCAAUCCUUUAUCUUCUUCUUUGUCUUCAAGAAGGAGUUCUAAUUUCCCUUGCAAUUCUCCAUUAGCAGCUUGAAGAAAUAAAUCAACUUUGUUCGGCUCCAAUGUCAAUUUUUCUACCUUCAACAAUUGAGAGUACUACCUUUCAAAUUCCCUUAGUAGCUCUGUUGCUUGUAAAUUCUUAUUAGGCCGUUCAAUCCAUUCCAAAAAUAGCUCCUAGUAACGUGAUCAACAUCUUCCAAGAAAUAUUUGUCUUUCAAUGCAUGUGAAAAAACCUCCCAUGAAUUCCCAUAACGAUCCGUAAUCCAUGUAAUGUGGUCUUUUAUCUCCGGUAUCGUGGCAAGUCCAAAUAGUUCAACCAUUUUCUUUUCAGAAACCCGAUUUAAUUCCAUUUCAUGAACAUAACAUCUUAAAUACCUUGAAAUAUUCCUUCCAUCAAAUUGAUCAAUUUUAUUGACCACUGCUUGCAAUGCUUUGGUUGCCAAAGCUUCCUUUCGAUCAUUGCUUUGCUAUUGCUGCAUUGAUAAUGAGAAGGCUUGAAACAUACUAGCAAUAGACGGAUCCAUGUGCAUACCUUGUCCUUUAGAAGACUCCCCACUAGAAACUCCUCCCAAAAAUCCUUCAAAAAUUUUAUUUUCGUUUUCCAUAAAAUAAAGAUAAAAUCAACUGAAAUUCAAUACCUUCUACCUCAAGCUUUCACGUCGGAUUCACCACUUUUAUUGUAUUACGUGCUUUCGUGCUCGAGAAUGCGUCGUGCAUCUGGCUGUAGAAGGUAGUAUGGAGAUUCGCCAACAGUCAAGCAGUCUAUCAGUUUUUGACGGCUGGAAUAUAAACGACUGCAAGAAUACAUCAAAAAUCUAUACGGUUGCCCUUCGACUGCUUGUCGAAGUCCUUUUUGCCCCAGCCGGUAGGUCUCUAGACGUUACAGAGAACCCUGAAUACCCCAAACUGUUAAUCUUCGAUACCGCUUUGUACUUACGAUCUUGUAUCCAUUGAUUGUCUUCUUAGAUUAACCCAAUAAAUUUCAUUCACUCCCCAUACUCAAUCCUAUAGACACCUUUUUUAUUCUUCAAUCACAGACGUAACUCAAUUUCACAAAACAGUUUAGAGUAAUCAAACCCACUUCAUUAAAAUCUCGAUUCACCAUUACAACACUGACUUCAGCAACGAUUGCCUCAGUCUUCCCAAAACCCUAUGAAGAAAAAAAAUCCAAUUCUCUGUCUUUAUUCUCCGCACGAAGCAUGAAGCUAGCUCUUUCCUAUCUUCAAAACCUCCCCAUCAAGAAAAAACCCUCUUUCCCCUCCCUCCUUUGUUAACUUUAAUUCUGAAUUUCUUCAAUCUUCUAUCUUGGAUCCGAAAGUGGCUCUAGCCGUCAGAGGUUAGAUCCGAAAUUGGCUCUUGCCAUCAAAGCUUAGAUCCAAAAUUGGCUCUCGCCAUCAAAGCUUUCUCCUCCAUUUUUACCUUUAAGAGAUCCAUUUACCGAAAACAAUGUUCCUUGAAAUGGAACAGAGAAUAGGACAGCCUGAAACAGAAUCGAAACCCCGUACUCGAGUCCACAUUGACUCGCCCGACCAAUUUAUGUCUCAUAUUGAAUAAGAUGUCCGUAGUAACCUAGAUGUUCACGUAAUUAGACUGCAUUGGGUUGCCCGGCCAAUUCAGGUCUCAUAUUGGAUAAGAGGACCCGGAUUGGAUUCUUGAAAUUGGAUCCAAUUGGCUCUUUGAACCAGGCUCAUCCGUCGUGUGAAUUGGUCCUUUCUCUUCCUAUUGACUCCCGUUAUUAGAAUCAAAUGGAGCAUUUCAGUAUGCCCCGGCUGUUUGUAAUGGGAUGACUGAACUUGGCCACGCAGUAUUUGCACUAGAGUUGGUCGUUGCUCCCAAUAUUCGAGGUAACUGAACAUUAAUAAAAGUCCCCUUUCUUUAUAUUUUCAUGCUAUACUCGUAUUACAACACGACAUCGUAGUGACCGGAUCUUUAUUGUAGCCCAUCGAACCUUGUCAUGUUCAACAAAUGCUUCCGAAAAUGCCUCCAAAAAGAUUUCAAAGUUGUUUAGUAUAGAUGAUCAUUUUUCAAACAAAAGAGCAAACGAUGAUAGAGCUUGUCCUGUAAGUAAGGUUCCAACAAGUCCAACACGUGACUCCUCCGUUGGAUAGCAUUCGGGAUGUAAAAUUGUUAUCAACCUGAUUUGAUUGAUGAAUCCUCAAAACUUCAAAUGCGUACCAUUAAACUUGUCCGAAAGGCUAACUCGGGGCUCCUUAUGUUGUAGAACUAGCAGUGCUUGUCGAACCUUAAGCAAAGUUGUUUCUCCAAGUGUGGAAGUUUGAGACUAGUACCACCUAGAUUGUGCCAUCCCAGAUGCUCCAUCAUUAUGAAGCCUUGCCACGACUCCUUCAAUAUUUGUAGUUCUUUGCGAUAACAUAGCGAGGGCAUUCAUCAUGGCAUCCAACUUGGACUUCGAACAUUCUGUCAUACUAAUGUCUUGGUCCCCGGCCAUUCUAAGAGAAGGACAGAAAUGACUCUACAAGAAGAUAAUAUUGGUUUAGAAGAGGGUACUCCGCAACCUCUAUAACGCUUUAAGAGCUUCAAAAAAAGAGGUAAUCCACUCUCUCCAAGAAGAAUAAGACUCCAAUAUAGUAACAAAAGAAGUAUUAGUUUAGAGGAGGGUAAUCCGCAACCUCUAAAAUGCUAGUACACCUUCAAGCAGAGGGAUAAUCUACACUCUAACGAGGAAGAAACUAGCUCUGAUAUCAGAAGUGAGUUCAAUCUCGACAAACUAUCACAGACAUAGAAAUAUAGGCUCGAGUUCUAAUAAGAAGUUUAAGAAGAACUGACAAGAAUUAGAUUAAUCAGAUGAAUAUAAGAACAACACCAGAGAGGUGAGCUAGAACUCCAAGAGAUGUGUUGUCGAGACUGAAGAACUCUUCAGCCUCGAUUCUAAUAUAUACUCCUAUUUAAGAAGCUUCUUAAGUAACUUCCACUAACUAGGAAGCUUCUCAAAAAACUUCCACCAACUAGGAAGCUUCUCAAGCAACUUCUACCAAUUAGGAAGCUUUUCAAGCAACUUCUACCAACUAAGAAGCUUCUCAAGCAACUUCCACCAAAUAGGAAGCUUCUCAAGUAACAUCCAUCAACUAAGAAGUUUUUCAAGCAACUUCCAUCAACUAGGAAGCUUUUAGAAGGUUCCAGAGACUUACUUCUAGAAGGUUCUAGAAAAUUGUCUCUAGAAGGUUAUAAGUAUUAUGUUCCUAAUAAUAAUUCUUUUUCAAUAAUAUAUAAUCUUUUUUUUCUUUUCUUUUAAAAUCAUCAACUUUCUUAUACAUAAUAUUUCAAUUCUCAAAAAUACCAAUAAAACUUACAUCAAAGGCACCUUCAUCUUAAGAGAGUACCUUCUCUUUUGUACCUCCAUAAUCUCGCUUUAUAGUGAUACUUCUAUAAAAUCCUUAAAUCCUUCAACAAUCCUUGGCAAUGGUUUCUCCCUCAACCUAUCUCGAUUUCGUUCAUGAUUAGGAGGUACUGUCAAAAAUUAUAUAGCUUUCCUUCCAUCUUCACUACUCUUGCAUAAGUAGAACUAUCAUCAAGUACUUUUGUUUCCAUCUGUGUUGCUAUAAUAUAAGGUUGUCCUAAAAUAAAUGGAUAAGACGUUGUAUCUUAUACAAAGAAAUGUUGUUCUGUUGUAACAUUUUUAAUCCAAAUUUUGACAUUUGGAUAAACUCGAUAUAAUUCGCUUCAUGUGUUAUUAGCUGCUCAUAUUACCCAUCCAUGUUCCAUAUCAAUUGGCCAUUUUUGCUUCUUAUAAAGAUCCUUAGAUAUAAGAUUUAUUUCAAACCCAUGGUCAACUAAAGCAACAAUUGGUUCUUCUAUAUCUCCUACUUUCACCAAUACUUCAGUAGUUGCCCUUGCCCAAUAUUUCUGAGUAUAAUGGCUUGAAGCUUUUAUUUCCUUAUCACUAUAAUCUUUGAAAUGUAUUCAUUCAUUAUAUCCAUUCUUUUCAUUUGUUGAUUGCUUAUAACCAUUAUCAACCUCUUCUUCAUCUUUAUAUAAUCCUGCAUCAAUAGCAUGACUCAUUCCAGCUUCAUGUAUUAAUUGCCUCUUUUGCUUAAUGCUGUCAAUGAUAAUAUCAUGAAAUUUCUUCUUUACAAUUCCCAAAAUUUCUUUCAAUGUGAAUUCCACCUUAGCAUUUAAUAUACAUUCUUCCCACACUCCUUUUAAAUUUGUUGCCGCUUUGAUGUGAGAAAGUAACUUAUAAGCAAUUGAUUUAUUCUUAUCUUUUAUCUCCUUUGUUUUUUCUUCCAAUAAUGCUGAAGUAUCUUUUAUCGGUAAUUUUUGUGAAGCUGCCUCAAGAGCCUGGUCUCCUCGAGUUUGUCUCUUGGAAGAAUUUCCUUCUCUUGUAUCAUCAAAAUUUUCUCGUCUCUUUUCUUCCAUCAAGCUUCAUAUUGGCUUUGAGUAAUAUAUGCAUGAAUUGAAAGAGACUCAACAGGAUCCUGCCAAUCUGUUGCACCUCGUAUUGUAGUUGCAGUCCUCAAUAAUGCUUCUUGAGGCAUUUUUCUUUUUUGUAUCGUGGAAAUGGCAAAAGUCCAAAAUUCACUAGUUUCUAUACUUCUACCAAAGUCAUCAUCUAUUCUAGCACCAUAACUUACACUCUCUCAUGUUGCUAUUCCAUAUUCUAUUAAAUAAUCUUGAAUCAAUACUCUCAUACCUCCUUUGCCAAAAUUAGUUUGAAAGAGAUCCUCUAUAUCUUUUAAUACUAUCUUUCCAUCUUUCCAGUAAAUAACUCCUUGUUGCACCAUAUUAUUAAAUUCACUACAAUCCUUCUUAGUAUGUGAAACAUCAUCACACCAGAUACAUCUUUGUACAUAUCGUUGUUUUGAAACAUUCUUCAAAUUGUUUGUAGAAGUAUUUUCUUUAAGUCUUGCCAAUUUGAUUUGAAGAUCUUGCAUUUUACGUAUAAUUUCUUCAAUCUCCAUCUUUCCUUUCUUUGAUAAAGAUAUCGAAGGUUGAAUAGUAGGCAUUGUUUGUCGUGUUGUAUAUAUUGGAUUUUUAGGUGCUUUUACUACUUUUGGAAUAUUACUCCUAUCUUUCCUCCUUUCUCUUUUUACAAGCAAAUCCACUGCAUUUUUAACAUUUUUCCACUUUGUUGUCAAUCCUUUAUCUUCUUCUUUGUCUUCAAGAAGCAAUUCCAAUUUCCCUUGUAAUUCUCUAUCAGCAGCUUGAAGAAAUAAUUCAACCUUGUUCGGCUCUAAUGUCAAUUUUUAUAUCUUUGAUAAUUGAGAAUACUACCUCUCAAAUUCCCUUAGUAGCUCUAUUGCUUGUAAAUUCUUAUUAGGCCGCUUAAUCCAUUCUAAAAAUAAUUUCUUAGUAAUAUGAUCAGUGUCUUCUAAGAAAUAUUCGUCUUUUAAUGCAUGUAAAAAAACCUCCCAUGAAUUUCCAUAAUAUUCCAUAAUUGAGGUAAUAUGUCUUUUUAUCUCCGGUAUCAUGGCUAGUCCAAAUAAUUCAACCAUCUUCUUCUCAAAAACCUGAUUUAAUUCCAUUUUUUGAACUUUACAUCUUAAAUACAUUGAAAUGUCCCUUCCAUCAAAUUGGUCAAUUUUAUUGAACACUACUUAUAAAACUUUGGUCGCUAAAGCUUCUUUGUGAUCAUUGGUUUACUAUUGCUGCAUAGAUAAUGAUAAGGCUUGAAAUAUACUAGCAAAAGAUGGAUCCAUGUACAUACCUUGUCCUUUAGAAGAAGCUCCACUUGAAGCUCCUUCAAAAUUUCUCAUUCUCCAUAAAAUAAAAACAGAAAUAAAAGAAUCCUAAUACCUCCCACCUCAAGUGUUUUACAUCAGAUUCACCACUUAUGUUGUAUUACGUGCUAUCUAGCUUGAGAACAAAGCGGGCAUCUAGUUGUAAAAGAUAAAAUAAUAUUUUGUAAGUAUCCAAAUAGGCUAGUGGGUUUCAACCAUCUAAAUACAAAUUAUUUCAGAUUUCAAUGUAAAAGCUCAAUCUCAAUACAAAGUACUUAGAAACACUAUUUUUAAUAACUUCAAGUUAUUAUAAGUACAAAGUCUUUUGUUACUUGUUAGUUUUAUUUUUAUUUUUAUUUUAUUAUAUUUUCUUUUAUUUUUUCAACCCUAACCUUAGACAGCGGACUUUGGUAAGCUGUAAUUCCCAAUCUGAUUGUCCGAUUGUUGUUAAUUUCUACCACUAGUGUCUUUACAAGCCUUUUAAAUACUCAAGAAGUUUCAAUCCAAUCUAACUUACAAAUUGCAAGAAAAUACCAUAAAUCCACACUGAUGUAUCUUGACCGCCGUCUACAAGUCCUCAACUUAUCAUGCCAAAAGUCACCUUAUUCCAGCUGGUAGAUCUCCAGAUAUUAUAGAAAUCCUAAACAACCCCAAUCUGCUAACUUCUAAUACUUCUUUACACUAUUGGUCAAAUAUCCUCUAUGUGUUCGUCAAAUUAAUACAAACUUUUGUAAGCACUCAGCAUACUCAACCGUUUAGACACUUCUAAAUUUCAACUGCAAAAAUUUCUCCAAUUUCACAAAAUAAUCAAGAGUACCAACCUUAACUUUAUUGCAAAAAAAUACCCAAAUCACCAAUACAAACACUGACUUUCAGCAACGAUCUCGAAAGUCCUUUCAAAUCCUAUGAAACUCAAUUCUAUACCUUUUGAAGGAGCUUGAAGCUAGCUCUCCGAUCUCAAAAUCCCGAUCUCCGAAUGCCUUCUUCUUUUUCUUCUUCUCUCCUUUAACUCCGUGAGGUCCUCUAUUCUUCCGCCUUAGACUCCGAAUUGGAACAGCAGACCCGCCUCCAUAGAAUUCCCGCCUGUAAGAGGAUCUUUCCACAGAAAGGAUGUUUUCUUGAAAUGACAUAGAGAACGGAAUACCUUGAAAUGGAAUCAAAGCCUCCGUAGUCGGGACCUCGAUGAAUUGUCCAACGGAAUCAGGUCUCAUAUUGGAUAAGAGGCCUAUAAUAGGACCUGGAUUGGAUGUCCCCGUAAUUGGAUCAAAUUGGCCCUUCACGUUCGCUCAUUAAUGUCAUAGCCGCACCAAUGAAUAAGAUACUCCAACUUGCCCCACCUUCGCCGUUGUCAUAAUGUGUGAAGUCUUGCUUGAGAAUGCUCCGGGUACUAGGUUGUAGAAGGAAGAAUAGAAAUUGCGAUAACAAAAUCCUAAAUAGAAUACUAACAAUGCUUUAAUUAGACUAUAAUAAUGGUAAAAAAACGUAAUCAAAUUCAAAUCAACUCAAAGAAAUUUCAAACAAACAAUAAAAUUCUUAAAAAAAUAUUAGAAUGAUCACAAAUUUUACUCAAAUAUAUGUCAAUUCAACCUUAAUUUAACUCUAGUUAAAAUCCUAUUGAAUUUCACUCAACUUUAGACCAAAUCUAAUUAAAUCUUAAACCCUAAUAAUUCCUAAACCCUAAGUCAAAUCCUAAAUAAAUCUUAAAUUAAACCCUAUUCCAAACCCUAAAUCCUAAACCCACCCUAAAUCAAAUCCUAAACCAAAUCCUAAUCCAAGCCUAAACCCUAAUCCAAACCUUAAAUCAAACCCUAGCCAAAUCCUAAUCCAAAUCCUAAUAAUUCCUAUGACAGAUUUAAACCUCAAUAUCUAAUGAAUAAACCAUUGAUCUCAAUUCAAAAUUUGCACACUUCUUAAAAAUCAAGUUCAAAACAAGUAAAAAACUUUUGAAAAGGAUCGGAUUACCAAAUUGACGAAAACCUCAAAAAUGUGUUCGGGGGUUAGCCGGCCUCCUUCUCCAAUCUUGUUGCCAACUUUCCCGAGCCAAUUUCUCUUCUUUUCGCCAUUCAAUUGGUUUCAAAUUUCUCAUGGACAUAGAAAAACAAGUCUAAUAUCCUCUUACAUAAGUUUUACUCCAAUCCAACUAGUAGAUUGCAUGAAAUCUUAAAAAACCCUCACUGGACCUAAAAUUCUACUUUUUGAGACCUUGACUCACUUAAACCUCAAUAUCUCUCAAUUCAACUGUUAGAUCAAGCUCAAAUUCACAACAUGUGUUUAACACAAUUAUAACCAUGAACCCAAAAAAAUUCAUUUGUAGAUCUGUAACAAAACUCUCGAAAUCACUCAAAACAUAAACCCUAUUUUAUUUCAUAAAACCCAAGUCAUCCAAAAAAAAACUCAACUUUGCAAAGCUCUUACAAAUUCAUAUCAACUCCAAAUCAUCCAAAAUCAAUGCCCAUAAAAACCUUAUCUAAUCUUCUCUCAAAUCCUAUUCUCCGAUUUGCCAAAGUGUUCUGGAGUCGUCGUCGAGACUCAAUUUUGUGCCUCAGGGUCUGAUUUCGACCCUGGUUCAUAACCGGCCCUCUCCGGGUAUCAAUAUUUAGUUUUUCUAAGUAACUUUUUUCUAGAAUUUACUCUUAACUUUCUUCUAAAGAUUCGUGUAUCAUUUAUUUUCCCAAUCUUUUUUGAUUUGCCUUACUUAUGGUACUACAAAAUAAGUAGAAGUCACCUUUCUAAAAGGCAACAUUGGUACCUUUUAAUUUUUCUACCCCUUUGGCUAUUAAGUAUAUUUCUAAGAUAAUUUGUUCUAAUACUUUGAACUAAGAUCUCUUAAAUUAUAAUAAUCUCCAUACUCUUUCACCUAUUAAUUGUGUUACAUCAUGACAAUGUAUUUCUCGUUUGAACUUGAUUGACUUUCCAUUGAGUCGGUGGAAUCAUGGUCUGAUUACUGAAUUAUUGUUGCCUUUGCCAAUUCCAACAAUUAGCUAUUAAGUGCUUUCCUCCGCAAAAUGUACAUUGAUCCAUCAUUUGUGAGGGUGAAGGGCAUUCUGUUACCAAAUGACCAUAGCCCUUACAAUUACUUUACCAUACAUUGGUCCUAGUAUUAGUAGGCUUGCGCCACUUCUCCUUAUCUUUGGCCAUAUUAACGGCCAUUUCUUCCAUUUUCUUCGUCAAGUCAAUAAUAAGGUUUCAUUAGAAUCUUUUGGGAUUAGUAUUAAUAGUAACUCUGCCGUACUUAAGGCUUGUCAUUGAUACAGAAAAUAUGGAACAUACGUUGUUGUAUUACAUGCUAUCUAGCUUAAGAAUGCACUAGGCAUCUCGUUGUGGAAGAUAAAACAAUGUUUUACAAGUAUCCAGAUACGCUAAUGGGUUUCAACCAUCUAAUUACGAAGUAUUUGAGAUUUCAAUGUAAAAGCUCAAUCCUAAUACAAAGUACUUAGAAGCACUAUUUUAAAUAACUUUAAGAUAUUAUAAGCACAAAGUCUUUUAUUAUUUGUUAUUUUUUUAUUUUAUUUUAUUUUAUUUUAUUUUUUAUUUAUUAUUUUUUAUUUUAUUAUAUUUUAUUUUAUUUUUUCAACCUUAACCCUAAACAACGAGCUUUGACAAGUUGUAAUUCUCAAUCUGACCAUCUGAUUGUUGUAAACUUCUACCACUAGUGUCUUUGCAAGUCUUCUAAAUGCUCAAGAAGUUUCAAUCCAAUCUAACUUACACAUUGCAAGAAAAUGCCAUAAAUCCACACUGAUGUAUCUUGAUCGCCGCCUAGAAGUCCUCGACUUAUCAUACCAAAAGUCACCUUAUUCCAGCCAAUAGAUCUCUAGAUGUUAUAGAAACCCUAGACAACCUCAAUCUGCUAACUUUCGAUAUCUCUUUAUACUAAUGGUCAAAUAUCCUCUAUCUGUUCGUUAGAUUAACACAAACUUUUGCAUGCACUCGGCAUACUCAACCCUUUAGACACCUCUAAAUUUCAACUGCAAAAGUUUCUCCAAUUUCACAAAACAGUCAAGAAUACCAGCCUUAAUUUUAUUACAAAAAAAAAUCCAAAUCACCAAUACAAACAUUGACUUUCAACAACGAUCGCAAAAGUCCUCUCAAAUCUUAUGAAAUCAAAUUCUAUACCUUUCAAAGGAGCUUGAAGCUAGCUCUCCAAUCCAAAAAUCCCGAUCUCGGAAUGCCUUCUUCUUUUUUCUGUCUUUUCUUUUAACUCCGUGAGGUCCCUCAUUCUUCCGCCUUGGGCUUCGAAUUGGAAAAGCAGACCCGCUUCCAUAGAAUUCUUGCCUCUAAAAAGAUCUUUCUAUGGAAAAGAUGUUUCUCUGAAACUGCAUAGAGAACGGAAUAACUUGAAAUGGAACCGAACCCUCCAUAUUUGGAACCUCAUUGGGUUGUUUAACCGAAUCUGGUCUCAUACUAGGUAAGAGGCCCGUAAUAAGAUAUAAAUUGGAUGUCCCGUAAUUGGGUCAAAUUGGCCCUUCACAUCAGAUUCACUUGAAUAUUGCAUUGGUCCUUUUUUCUUUUGCCGACUCUUGGUAAGAACGGCUCAGACUUAUUCUACCCGAUUUAUCAGAGAAUCUUGAGGACCUAGAUUCAUCCCUUCAAUUUUUUCCUAGCUUUGGAUCUGUUGAUCCCAAUUAUUGAAAUUGAACGGAGUAUUAUAUUGCUUAUAAGUAUGCCCCGACUGCUUGCUAUUUCCACACACUGGCACGUGAUUGUCAAUGGCUUUGGAAUUGGAACAUUCAAUAGCAUAAUGACCAAUCUGUCUGCAACGAAAAUAAAAAAGUCAUCUUCCUGUACUCCCAUCAGGCAUAUUGGGUGUUUCCACUGAUAUAUACCUCGUAGGCUUGUUCCAUGUAGGAUUAGAAAAUGAUCCUGGUCGUUCUUUUGGUACAAAGGGUACUUGGUUCGAUGACGCCGGUAGAGCAUACACUAGUGUCACAUUCGAUGGUAUAUAUUACAAUAGAGUGAUAUUAACUGGCCCCUGAAUAUUAACACUGGUAUUGGCCAUUGCUUCUAACAUCUAAGCUAACUAAAUAUUAAUAAAUCUUUUCCAUUUAUAUUUUCACCAUAUAGUCAUAUCGCAACACGACAUCCACCCCCUCUGAACCUAUGCAUCUUCUCAUAUGCACUAAAUAAUCUAGUUGUUAUUUGAAUUAUAAUAUGUUCUCCAAGUCUUCGUCUAAAUCCUCUUCAUCACCUUUGCUAUCCAAGUCAAUUUCAUCUUCUUGUUGAAGAAUAUCUAUGUCUCCACCAAGGUCUUCUAUAUUUAUUUUUGUGCAUCUUUGUUUAUAUAUUUUAACUCGCUUCCUUGCAAUUGGUAUUUUAACCUUUUUCCAUCUAACUCCCAUAAUGAAUAAGUUACAUUAUCAUGAACAGUUGUUACAACAUACGGUCUAAGCCAUCGCUUAAAAAACUUCUUUAAAGUACUAUGUUAAUUGUCCAAGCUACUAUCAUAGACCAAAAUCCAAUCACCUUCUUCAAUUACUUUAGGCCUCAAUCGAUGCUGCUUAUGAAAUCUUGCCUUAUUUUGUAACCUUCAUCUUUUUAAUCUUUCUAAUGCUAUUUGCACAUCUUCCGAACUUUGCUCUAAUUGUUGAAUUCUAAUAGCUAAAAGUUCUUCUCCUAUCAAUCCAUCUUUCUAUGGUAGCACACUCCAAGUAGGUACCUUUUCUUCAAUUGGCAUAAUUGAUUUUUGACCUGUCAUAAGCUCAAUAAGCAUAUAUCCUGUUACGGAGCUAUGAGUUGUUUGAUCAGCCCAUAAUGCAAAUGACAAAAGUCAUGGCCAUUCUCUACUCUUUCCAUUACAAGCUUUAACUAAUGCUUUCACAAUUGGUGGGUGACCACACUAAUUUUUGGCAUUUCCUUCAGGAUUAUAAGCAGUACUCAGUGAUAGUUUAAUUCCACAUCUUUCAAAGAAUUCACGAGCUUCUUGUGCAUUUAAUUCUCCAUGAUCUGCAAUGAUUUUUUCUACACAUUCGUAGCAGCAAAUAACAUCUUUAAGCAAAAAAUCUACAAAUUUCUUCCAUAGAUUUUGUUUUCAAUGCUCUUCUUUCUACUAAAUUUGAUAAAUUUUCAUGAGCUAAGACCAAAUAUCUCAUUUGCCAUAACUCGAUUGGUAUAAUAACCAAAUCAACAAUGUAUUUAAAAUGAAUAGCUAGAGGAUAUAUAGGAUGAAGACCAUCUUGAUGUCAUAUAUUAGAAUAUGUUUGAUAAAUUUUACAUGAUCCUACAAAUAAGAGCACAUCUUGAUAUAUAUUUUUCCACCAAUAUCGUUCCUUAAGUUUAGCAAAAGUAGCCCAAAUUCCUCUAUGUCCUAUCCAUAAACUAUCAUGAAACCCCUUUAAUAAUUUUUGUUUCUCUUCUUUAUUGCCUAUCACUCUUUGUGGCAUUCCAAUUCCUUUCUUUGGUCUCUUCCAUAAGAAUCCUUCUUGAAGCAAAAAUCCAUAUAUCUUUUUUCUUAUUUAUUUAAAUUUUCUUGUAGACCAAUUUUCUUGCUUAGUCAAGGUAUUCAAAUAAUGACCAAUAUUGAAUAAUUCUCCUUUAUAAAAUUCUUCAAGAAAUAGCUUGUCUUCUUUGUUAAGAUUUGAUACUAAACCUCCCUCGAAUGAAUUUCUACAAUCUUAUCAUUAUCUCUUAAAUCUAAUAGAUGCAAUUAAUUCUAAAGAAUCCUUCAAUAUAUUUUCUUCAUAAAUACCUUAAAUCUUUUCAUCAUCUUCUAAUGUCCCUAACUUACGUAAUUGUAACGGAUACAGAAAUACAAGCUCGAGAUCUAACAAGAAGUUCAAGAAGAAUUGACAAGAAUUAGAUUAAUCAGAUGAAUACAACAACGAUACCCGAGAGGUGAGAUAGAGCUCCAAGAGAUGUGUUGUCGAGACUGAAGAAUUCUUCAGCCUCGAUUCUAAUAUAUACUCCUAUUUACGAAGCUUCUUAAGCAACUUCCACCAACUAGGAAGCUUCUCAAGCAACUUCCACUAAUUAGGAAGCUUCUCAAGCAACUUCUACCAACUUAGAAGCUUCUCAAGUAACUUCCACCAACUAAGAAGCUUCUCAAGCAACUUCCACCAAUUAAGAAGCUUCUCAAGUAACUUCAAUCAACUAAGAAGCUUUUAGCAGGUUCCAGAGACUUACUUCUAGAAGGUUCUAGAAACUUCUCUCUUGAAGGUUCUAAGUACUAUAUCUCUAACAUCACUCCCUCCUUUAGCUUUGAGGUCUCUGAGAAGCAAUAUUAUUGUUAAUUAGUACCAAUGCAAGAAAAUGAAGAUCUGUCGCAUAACGUCUGCUAUGACUUCUAACUGUUGUUUAGGAGGUAAGUGGUUCAUCGAUCCUUAAAGCCAAUGGUAGUGGUCCACGCCUUCGACUUUUGACUAAGCAUGAACUUUCGUGUCCUCAUUGUGAAAUUGUCCUGCAAACAUGCUUUUUGGCUGACCAUCGUAAGCAAGCUCAAACUCAAAUACAAUCACCAAUGAUCGGUUAUUCGGUAUCCUUCGUCGUCGUCAUGGUGUAGGCAAUUUUUCAUCUCGGGGUCGCCUUCGUGAACUAGUUGGUUGAGAUAAUCUGACUGGCAUAGUAGCUAUCUCUUGGCUAUCCAUAUUAGAAGACCAAACUAUGGCUAUUGAAAAAAUUCUACUUUAUCUUGGAGGAAAAAACUACAUCAAACUACGAGUUUUGGUGGUGCUCUCCCCCUUUCUUAUAUUCUUGGGUGAGCAAGCUUCAGAAGGAAGCUAUCGUCGAACCGGCUUAGAUUUAUGAGGAUGUUGUUGAUGAAACUCUUGUACCUUUUCUGACGCGAUUGCAAGAUUUUUAGCAGGUUCCCACGUUUGCUCAUUAAUGUCGUAGCCGCGCCAAUGAACAAGAUACUCCAAUUUGUUCCACCUUUGUUAUGAAUCCAACACCUUUUCAACCUCGUAUUCUUCGUGGUUCUCGAAUAAUACUAGGUGGCGAACAUUACACUCUUCCAAGAAAAGACGACUUUUGAUAAGGCUCCAACAAAGAAACAUGAAAGAGUCGAUGUACCUUCAUAGAAGUCGGUAAUUCCAAACUGUACGCCACUCGAUUGAUUUGCUUCUGGAUGAUAAGUAGUCCCAAUCUUCAAUAGUCCAACUUAUCACAUGGUCGCUUGGUCUUGAUAUUCCGUCAAAGAAACCAUGCUUUAUCUCCAAUUUUGAAAGUAGGUGCUUGAUUUCGAAAUCUAUCUAUAGACGCCUUGUAGGAUUUUUGAGUGGAUUGUAAUUGAAGCUUCAACAUAGUUUGAAGCUAUGAUAGUUGCUUCGUAAAGCCUUCAGCUCCUGAAUUGUUAUUUGUUGACGGACUCAAUAAAUCAAGCUUCAAAUGAUACCCAUAGUUGGAAAAGUAUGGUGUGUAUUGAGUCGAUGCAUAGAGGGUGUUAUUAUAUGCAAACUCAGCUAGCGACAGAUAUGCGGUCCAAUUAUCUUGCUGAUAGUUGAUGCUGCAUCGUAAGUAUUGUUCCAAGACUUAGUUCACUCGUUCUGUUUGGCCGUUAGUUUGAGGAUGAAAAGCUGAAGAGAGCUUGAUAUCCACCUUCAGUAUCUCAAAAAGAGAUCUCCAAAACUUUGAAACAAACAAGAUUCUUCGAUCUGAUACGAUAUCAUCUGAUAGUCCAUGAUAUCGAUACACAUUAUCGAGAAAGAGCCUUGUUGUGAUUUCACUGGAUGAUGUCUUCUUACAAGAGACAAAGUGUGCCAUCUUUAUAAGCCGAUCUACAACGACAAAGAUGCUGUCAAAUGAAUUCGAUGAUAGCAGGUCUGUGAUGAAGUCCAUGGAAAACGAAGACCAUGAUCGACGUGGAAUUGGCAAUGGCUGUAGAAGUCCAUAAGGGCAAUGUCUAGGAUUCAAAGAUCUUGAAGAAAUAUCGUAGGAGAGGAAAAAAUCUUUCAUAUCCUUUCACAUUUGGAGCCACGAGAUAUCUCGAGAAAUAAGCUCCAGUGUCUUCUUGAAUCCAAAAUGUCCCACAGCUAGAAAAUCAUGGCGAGAUUGAAGAAAUUAAAGUCGUGCUAGUCUUUUUGGAAUAUACAACCGCUCCUCAAAGUAUAAAAGAUCUCCCUCCACCUUAAACUUGUUGUCAUUGGUAUGCUGCUUGAUAUCAACGGCUACUAGAUCUUCAAUGGUCAGGGCACAUACCUGGUUCAGGAAGUCACCAUCAAUUGGCACAAUAGUAGCGCAAAGCUGAAAUUACUCUGGCUUCAACAAUGUCAUACAUUGUUAAUCAAAUGCUGCUUCUCCAGCCUUUGGUACAAGAUACGAUCUCCUUGAUAAGGCAUCGGAUAAUCCUUCCUGCCUUCUAGGUUGAUAAGUGAUAAUAAAAUUGAAUCUAGAUAGCAACAUACUCCACCGAGCUAAACGUCGAUUUAGAACUCGAGCCGACAUGAAAUACUCCAAAUUCUUGUGAUCUGUGUAUACGGUCACUGGGUGUGCAGCUCUUUUAAGAAAGUGAUGCCAUUCUUGGAAAGAAUCCACUAUAGCAAGAAGUUCUUUAUCGUGGAUCUCAUAAUUGAUUUCAACUGCAAAGAACUUUCCAGAAUAAAAUGUAAGCAAAUGGAACUUCUUAUCUUCUCCCAUUUGUGAUGUAUAGCUCCUAAAGCAAAAUCCGAAGCAUCAGUUUUUAAAUAGAAGGCCUUUGUAAAGUCUGGAUGUACCAAGAUUGGAGCCGUAGUAAAUGUCGUCUUCAGGUCUUGAAAUGCCUUCUCCGCUAGAGGUCUCCAUUCCAGCUUAUCCUUGCAUGUCAAUCGAGUGAGAAGAGUAGCAACUUGAGAGUAAUUCUUGAUGAUGAUUUGAUAGAAGUUAGUAAAACUAAGAAAGCAUUGUACGUCUCUAACUGUCUUUGAAACCUCCUAGGACACGAUUGCUUCCAACUUCUUAGGGUCCAUCUUCAAGCCUUCCGUAGUCGCAACGAACCUCAAAAACUCCAUCUCCAUUUGGUGAAAUAAACACUUCUCUAAUUUGGCAUAUAGUCCUCGCUUACGUAGUUUCUCUAAGACGAAACAAAUGUACUUUUCAUGCUCUUCCUCGUUUUUGGAAAAUAUUAGAAUAUCAUUCAAGUAGAUGACCACAAAAUCGUCAAGGUGCUCUCGAAAAAUAUCAUUCAUCAUAUGUUGGAAGACUACUGGAGCAUCGGUAAGACCAAAAGGCAUGACAUUAUAUUCAAAAUGGCCAUACCUUGUACGGAAUGUUGUCUUCCACUCAUCUCCUUUUUUGAUUCGUACGAGGUUGUAAGCUCCUCUUAAAUCAAUUUUUGUAAAGAUUCUUAUACGUUGUUGUGUUGUAGCACGAGAAUACCGUAAAAAUAUAAAGAAAGGAGACUUUUAUUAAUGUAUAAUUACCUCGAAUAUUGGGAGCCACGACCAAAUCCAGUGUAAAUACUGAGUAGCCUGGUUCAGUCACCCUAUUACAGUCAGCCGGAGCAUACUGAAAUGCUUCGUUCGAUUCCAAUAACGGGAGUCAGCAGGAAGGGAAAGGACCAAUUCACGCGACGGGUGAGCCUGGUUUGAAGAGCCAAUCGGAUCCAAUUUCGAGAAUCCAAUCCGGGUCUUACUAUUGGACUCUUAUCCAAUAUGAGACCUAAAUUGGUCGGGCAACCCAAUGCAAUCUAAUUACGGGAAAAUCCAGGUUACUAUGGGCAUCUUACCCAAUAUGAGACCUGAAUUGGUCGGGCGACUCAAUGUGGACCCGAGUAUGGGGUUUCGAUUCAGUAUCAGGCUGUCUUAUUCUCUGUGCCGUUUCAAGGAACGUUGUUUUCGGUAAAUGGAUCUCUUAAAGAUAAAAACGGAGGAGGAAGCUCUGGCGGCGGGAGCCAAUUUCGGAUCUAAGCUCUAACGAUGGGAGCCAAUUUUGGAUCCAAGACAGAAGAUUGAAGAAAUUCAGAGGAUAAGGUUAGGGGAAGAAUGAGAUCAGAGGGGGGUUUUUUUUUUUGGAUGGGAGAGCUAGCUUCAAGCUCUUUUCAAGGUUACUAGUUCGGUUUCAUUGGAGGUUUUUGAAGAUCAGGAAUUGGAGAGGAGCUUCAUGCUUCGGGUCGGGAAAGAAAAGACGGAGAAUUGGAUUUUUCUUCUUCAUAGAGUUUUGGGAAGACUGAGGCAAUCGUUACUGAAGUCAGUGUUGUAAUGGUGAAUCGGGAUUUUUUAAUGAAAUGGGUUUGAUUACUCUUGACUGUUUUGUAAGAUUGAGUUACGUCUGUGAUGAAGAGUUAAAAAGGUGUCUAUAGGAUUGAGUAUGCAGAGUGAAUGAAAUUUAUUGGCUUAAUCUAAUAAGACAGUCAGUGGAUACAAGAUUGUAAGUACAAAGCGGUAUUGAAGAUUAACAGUUUGGGUUGUUUGGGGUUCUCUGUAACGUCUAGAAACCUACAUGCUGGGACAAAAUGGACUUCGACAAGCAGUCGGAGGGCAUCCGUAUAGAUUUACGGUAUAUUCUUAAAGUCGUUUAUAUUCCAGCAGUCAAAAAAAGAUAGACUGCUUGACUAUUGAAAAAUCUCCAUACUACCUUCUACAGACAGAUGCCCGGCACGUUCUUGAGCAGGAAAGCACGUAAUACGAUAAAAGUGGUGAACUCGACGUGAAAGCUUGAGGUAGAAGGUAUUGGAUUUAGAUUGAUUUUAUCUUUAUUUUAUGGAAAACGAAAAUAAAAAUUUUGAAGGACUUUUGAGAGGAGUUUCUAGUGGGGAGUCUUCUAAAGGACAAGGUAUGCAGAUGGAUCCAUCUAUUGCUAGUUUGUUUCAAGCCUUCUCAUUAUCAAUGCAGCAAUAGCAAAGCAAUGAUCGAAAGGAAGCUUUGGCAACCAAAGCAUUGCAAGCAGUGGUCAAUAAAAUUGAUCAAUUUGAUGGAAGGAAUAUUUCAAGGUAUUUAAGAUAUUAUGUUCGUGAAAUGGAAUUAAAUCAAGUUUCUGAGAAGAAAAUGGUUGAACUAUUUGGACUUGCCACGAUACCGGAGAUAAAAGACCACAUUACAUGGAUUACGGAUCGUUAUGGGAAUUCAUGGGAGGUUUUUUUACAUACAUUGAAAGACAAAUAUUUCUUCGAAGAUGUUGAUCACGUUACUAAGAAGCUGUUUCUGGAAUGGAUUGAACGGCCCAAUAAGAAUUUGCAAGCAACACAGCUACUAAGGAAAUUUGAGAGGUAGUACUCUCAAUUGUCGAAGGUAGAAAAAUUGACAUUGGAGCCGAACAAAGUUGAUCUAUUUCUUCAAGCUGCUGAUGGAGAAUUGCAAGGGAAAUUAGAACUCCUUCUUGAAGACAAAGAAGCAGAUGAAGGAUUGACAACGAAGUAGAAGAACGUUGAAGAUGCGGUGGGAUUGCUUACAAAAAAAGAAAGGAAGAAGGAUAGGAAGAAUAUUCUAAAAAUAGUACAAGCACCCAAAGCUCCAAUACGUUGUCGUAUUACGUGCAUUCCUGCUCGAGAACGUGCCGGGCGUCGGACUGUAGAAGGUAGUAUGGAGAUUUGCCGAUAGUCAAGCAGUCUAUCAGUUUUUGACUACUGGAAUAUAAAUGACUGCAACAAUAUACCGUAAAUCUAUACGGAUGCUCUUCGAUUGCUUGUUGAAGUCUUUUUUUUUUACCCCAGCCGGUAGGUCUCUAGACGAUACAAAGAACCCCGAACAACCCAAACUGUUAAUCUUCAAUACCCCUUUGUACUUAAGAUCUUGUAUCCACUGACUGUCCUCUUAGAUUAACCCAAUAAAUUUCAUUCACUCCGCAUACUCAAUCCUAUAGACACCCUUUUAAUCCUUCAAUCAAAGACGUAACUCGAUUUUAUAAAACAAUCAAGAGUAUUCAAACCCACUUCAUUUAAAAAUCCCGAUUCACCAUUACAACACUGACUUCAGCAGCGAUUGCCUCAGUCUUCCCAAAACUCUACGAAGAAGAAAAAUCGAAUUUCUAUGUCUUUCCUUCCCCGACCCGAAGCAUCAAGCUCCUCUCUCUAAUUCCCUUGAUCUUCAAAAACCUCCAAUGAAACCGAACUGGUAACCUUGCAAAAGCUUGAAAACUAGCUCCCCCCCAAUUCCCUGAAAGAAAAAAACCUCCCCCCUCAAAACUAUAUCCCCCCUAACCUUAUCCUCUGAAUUUCUUCAAUCUUCUGUCUUAGAUCCGGAAUUGGCUCCCACCUCAAGCUUGGAUCCGAAAUUGGCUCUCGCCGUCAAGCUUUCUCCUCUGUUUUUACCUUUAAGAAAUCCAUUUACCGAAAACAACGUUCCCUGAAACGGCACAGAGAACAGGAUAGCUUGAAACAGAAUCGAACCCCGUAAUCGGGACCACAUUGAGUCGCCCAACCAAUUCAGGUCCUAUAUUGGGAAAGAUGCCCGUAGUAACCUGGAUGUUCCUGUAAUUGGGUCAAAUUGGUCCUCGUGUCAGAUUGGCUAAGACCCGUAAUAAGACUUGGAUUUCUCGUAAUUGGACUGCAUUGGGUUGACCGGCCAAUUUAGGUCUCAUAUUAGAUAAGAGGACCUGGAUUGGAUUAUCGAAAUUGGAUCCAAUUGGCUCCUCGAACCCGUCGUGUGAAUUGGUCCUUCUCUUCCUGCUGACUCCCGUUAUUAGAAUCGAACGGAGCAUUUCAGUAUGCCCCGGCUGACUGUAAUGGAGUGACUGAACCUGACCACUCAGUAUUUGUACUGGAGUUGGUCGAUGCUCCCAAUAUUCGUGGUAACUGAAUAUUAAUAAAAUUCCCCUUUCUUUUUUUUUUCAUUGUAUACUCGUGUUACAACACGACAACGUACAACACCACCAACAAUGCCUACAGUUCAACCUUCGAUAUCCUUAUCAAAGAAAGCAGAUAUAGAGAUGGAAGAAAUUAUACGAGAAAUGCAAGAUCUUCAAAUCAAAUUGGCAAUAAUUGAAGAGAAUACUUCUAUAAAUAAUUCAAAGAAUGUUUUAAAACAAGGAUAUAUACAAAGAUGCAUUUGCUGUGAUGAUGCUUCACACACUAGAAAAGAUUGCAAUGAAUUUAAUAAUAGGAUACGGCAGGGAAUUAUUUGCUUGAAAGAUGAGAAGAUAGCAUUGAAAGAUAGGGAUGAUCUUCUUCAAACCAAUUUUGGCAAGGGAAAAAUGAGAGCAUUGCUCGAAGAUUACCUAAAAGAGCAUAAAACAGCAGCACGAGAAAGUGCAAGUUAUGGUGCUAGAGUAGAUGAUGACCUUGAAAGAAGUAAGGAAACUAGUGAGUUUUGGGCUUCUGCCGUUUCUACAAUGCAAAAAGGAAAAUUACCUCGAGAAGCGUCAUUGAGGACUGCAGCUAGAAUAGGAGGUAGAACAGGUUGGGAGGAUCCUGUUGAGUCUCUUUCAGUUCAUGCAUAUAUUGCUAAGAGCCAACAUGAAGCUUUGAUGGAAGAAAAGAGACGAGGAAAUUUUGAUGAUACUAAAGAAAGAAAUUCUUCUAAGAGGCAAACUCGAGGAGACAAGGUUCGGGAGGCAGCUUCACAAGAAUUGCCAAUAAAGGAUACCUCAACAUCAUUGGGAGAAAAAAAAAAGGAAACAAAAGAUAUUUCACAUCAGAUUCAUCACUUAAGUUGUAUUAUGUGCUAUCUAGCUUGAGAACGCAGCGGGCAUCUAGUUGUGAAAGAUAAAACAAUAUUUUGUAAGUAUCCAAGUAGGCUAGUGGAUUUCAACCAUAUAAAUACAAAUUAUUUCAGAUUUCAAUGUAAAAGCUCAAUCUCAAUACAAAGUACUUAGAAAUACUAUUUUUAAUAACUUCAAGUUAUUAUAAGUACAAAGUCUUUUUUUACUUGUUAGUUUUAUUUUUAUUUUUAUUUUAUUAUAUUUUCUUUUAUUUUUUCAACCUUAACCUUAGACAGCGGGCUUUGGUAAGCUGUAAUUCCCAAUCUGUAUGUCCGAUUAUUGUUAAUUUCUACCACUAGUAUCUUUACAAGCCUUUUAAAUACUCAAGAAGUUUCAAUCCAAUCUAACUUACAAAUUGCAAGAAAAUACCAUAAAUCCACACUGAUGUAUCUUGAUCGCCGUCUACAAGUCCUCGACUUAUCAUGCCAAAAGUCACCUUAUUCCAGCUGGUAGAUCUCCAGAUAUUAUAGAAAUCCUAAACAACCCCAAUCUGCUAACUUCUAAUACUUCUUUACACUAUUGGUCAAAUAUUCUCUAUAUGUUCGUCAGAUUAAUACAAACUUUUGUAAGCACUCAGUAUACUCAACCGUUUAGACACUUCUAAAUUUCAACUACAAAAAUUUCUCCAAUUUCACAAAAUAAUCAAUAGUAUCAGCAUUAACAUUAUUACAAAAAAAUACCCAAAUCACCAAUACAAACAUUGACUUUCAGCAACGAUCACGAAAGUCCUUUCAAAUCCUAUGAAACUCAAUUCUAUACCUUUUGAAGGAGCUUGAAGCUAGCUCUCCGAUCCCAAAAUCCCGAUCUCCGAAUGCCUUCUUCUUUUUCUUCUUCUCUCCUUUAACUCCGUGAGGUCCUCUAUUCUUCCGCCCUAGACUCCGAAUUGGAACAGUAGACCCGCCUCCAUAGAAUUCCCGCUUGUAAGAGGAUCUUUCCACAGAAAGGAUGUUUUCUCGAAAUGACAUAGAGAACGGAAUACCUUGAAAUGGAAUCAAAGCCUCCGUAGUCGGGACCUCGUUGAAUUGUCCAACCGAGUCAGGUCUCAUAUUGGAUAAGAGGCCUAUAAUAGGACCUGGAUUGGAUGUCCCCGUAAUUGGAUCAAAUUGGCCCUUCACGUUCGCUCAUUAAUGUCAUAGCCGCACCAAUGAAUAAGAUACUCCAACUUGCCCCACCUUCGCCGUUGUCAUAAUGUGUGAAGUCUUGCUUGAGAAUGCUCCGGGUACUAGGUUGUAGAAGGAAGAAUAGAAAUUGCGAUAACAAAAUCCUAAAUAGAAUACUAACAAUGCUUUAAUUAGACUAUAAUAAUGGUAAAAAAACGUAAUCAAAUUCAAAUCAACUCAAAGAAAUUUCAAACAAACAAUAAAAUUCUUAAAAAAAUAUUAGAAUGAUCACAAAUUUUACUCAAAUAUAUGUCAAUUCAACCUUAAUUUAACUCUAGUUAAAAUCCUAUUGAAUUUCACUCAACUUUAGACCAAAUCUAAUUAAAUCUUAAACCCUAAUAAUUCCUAAACCCUAAGUCAAAUCCUAAAUAAAUCUUAAAUUAAACCCUAUUCCAAACCCUAAAUCCUAAACCCACCCUAAAUCAAAUCCUAAACCAAAUCCUAAUCCAAGCCUAAACCCUAAUCCAAACCUUAAAUCAAAUCCUAACCAAACCCUAAUCCAAACCCUAAAUCAAAUCCUAACCAAAUCCUAAAUCCUAAUCCAAAUCCUAAUCCAACCCUAAACUCUAAUCCAAAUCCUAAACCCUAAACCAAACCUUAAAUCAAAUCCUAAUCAAACCCUAAUCCAAACUCUAAUUCAAACCUUAAAUCAAACCCUAACCAAAUCCUAAUCCAAAUCCUAAUCCAAACCCUAAAUCAAAUCCUAACCAAAUCCUAAACCCUAAUCCAAAUCCUA